UAAACAGUACCUCUCUUUCUUUCUUUCUCAACCAUUCAAACAAAGAAAAAAUGAGUCAACACAACAUCCUCGAAGCUCUUAACGUCCGGGUCGUGGGCACGGGCGAUCGGAUCCNNNNNNNNNNNNNNNNNNNNNNNNNNNNNNNNNNNNNNNNNNNNNNNNNNNNNNNNNNNNNNNNNNNNNNNNNNNNNNNNNNNNNNNNNNNNNNNNNNNNAUUUUUUCGGUAAAUGCUCUAUAUACUGAAGCCUAUGAUUUUUAGUGUUGUUUUAAAUUUCUAAACAUAUUCUACAUUUGUAAUUAAUGUAUAUUAAACUCUCUUUCAUGGUACAUGGGCAUCGUUUAAAUUUUUUGUCAAUUAAUUUGGUAAAACUUCAUAAUACUCCAUAAAUUGAUUGACUUAACCACUAUAAAAUCGUUAUUCUCUAGAAAAACGGAGACAACAAAGGUUCCAAACCUCUUUGACCUUCAUCCUAUGUUAGUGAAAGAUACAACUAUGCACGAAAAUAGAAUUUUCAUUUUUUUUGAAUUUUUCUCAAAAUCUAUGGGUUAACUAACCCCUACGAAAUAUUUAUUUUUUCGGUAAAUGCUCUACAUACUGAAGCCUAUGAUCUUUACUGUUGUUUUAAAAUUUCUAAACACAUUCUACAUUUGCAGUAAUGUAUAUUAAACUCUCUUUCAUGGUGCAUGGGUAUCGUUUAAAUUUUUUGCCAAUUAAUUUAGUAAAACUUCAUAAUACUCCCUAAAUUGGUUGACCAACCACUAUAAAAUCGCUAUUCUCUAGAAAAACAGAGACAACACAGGUUUCAAACCUCUUUGACCUUCAUCAUAUGUUAGUGAAGGAUGCAACUACGCAUUAAAAUAGAAUUUUAGUUUUUUUAAAUUUUUCUCAAAAUCUAUGGGUUAACCCCCUACGAAAUAUUUAAUUUUUUGGUAAAUGCUCUAUAUACUGAAGCCUAUGAUCUUUACUAUUGUUUUAAAAUUUCUAAACACAUUAUACAUUUGCAGUAAUGUAUAUUAAACUCUCUUUCAUAGUACAUGGGUAUCGUUUCAUUUUUUGUCAAUUAAUUUAGUAAAACUUCAUAAUACUCCCUAAAUUGGUUGACCAACCACUAUAAAAUCGCUAUUCUCUUGAAAAACGAAGAUAGCAAAUGUUUCAAACCUCUUUGACCUUUAUCAUAUAUUAGUGAAGGAUGCAAUUAUGCAUUAAAAUAGAAUUUUAAUUUUUUAAAAAUUUUCUCAAAAUCUAUGGGUUAACCCCUACGAAAUAUUUAAUUUUUCGGUAAAUGCUCUAUAUACUGAAGCCUAUGAUCCUUACUGUUGUUUUAAUAUUUCUAAACACUUUCUAUAUUUGUAUUCAUGUAUAUUAAACUCUCUUUCAUUGUACAUGGGUAUCGUUUAAAGUUUUUAUCAAUUAAUUUAGUAAAACUUCAUAAUACUCUCUAAAUUGGUUGACUAACCACUAUAAAAUCGCAAUUAUCUAAAAAAAGGAUACAACAAAGGUUCCAAACCUCUUUAACCUUCAUCAUAUGUUCGUGAAGGAUGAAACUAUGCAUUAAAAUAGAAUUUUCAGUUUUUUUAUUUUUUAUCAAAAUCUAUGGGUUAACCCUUACGAAAAAAACUUAUUUUUCGGUAAAUGCUCUAUAUACUGAAGCCUAUGAUUUUUAGUGUUGUUUUAAAAUUUCUAAACACAUUCUCCAUUUGCAGUAAUGUAUAUUAAACUCUCUUUCAUGGUACAUGGGUAUCGUUUAAGUUUUUUGUCAAUUUAUUUAGUAAAACUUCAUAAUACUCCCUAAAUUGGUUGACCAACCACUAUAAAAUCGCUAUUCUCUAGAAAAACAGAAACAACAAAUGUUUCAAACCUCUUUGACCUUUAUCAUAUAUUAGUGAAGGAUGCAAUUAUGCAUUAAAGUAGAAUUUUAAUUUUUUUUAAUUUUUUUCAAAAUCUAUGGGUUAACCCUACAAAAUAUUUAAUUUUUCGGUAAAUGCUCUAUACACUGAAGCCUAUGAUCUUUCCUGUUGUUUUAAAAUUUCUAAACAUUUUCUAUAUUUGUAUUCAUUUAUAUUAAACUCUCUUUCAUGAUACAUGGGCAUCGUUUAAAUUUUUUGUCAAUUAAUUUAGUAAAACUUCAUAAUACUCUCUAAAUUGGUUGACUAACCACUAUAAAAUCGCAAUUAUCUAAAAAAAGGAUACAACAAAGGUUCCAAACCUCUUUAACCUUCAUCAUAUGUUCAAGGUUUCAAACCUCUUUGACCUUCAUCAUAUGUUCGUGAAGGAUGAAACUAUGCAUUAAAAUAGAAUUUUCAGUUUUUUUUUUUAAUUUUUAUCAAAAUCUAUGGGCUAACCCUUACGAAAAAACUUAUUUUUUCGGUAAAUGAUCUAUAUACUGAAGCCUAUGAUAUUUAGUGUUGUUUUAAAAUUUCUAAACACAUUCUACAUUUGUAUUAAUGUAUAUUAAACUCUCUUUCAUGGUACAUGGGCAUCGUUUAAAUUUUUUGUCAAUUAAUUUGGUAAAACUUCAUAAUACUCCCUAAAUUAAUUGACUUAACCACUAUAAAAUCGCUAUUCUCUAGAAAACAAUUAAUUUAGUAAAACUUCAUAAUACUCCCUAAAUUGGUUGACCAACCACUAUAAAAUCGCUAUUCUCUAGAAAAACGGAGACAACAAAGGUUCUAAACCUCUUUGACCUUCAUCAUAUGUUAGUGAAAGAUACAACUAUGCAUUAAAAUAGAAUUUUCAUUUUUUUGAAUUUUUAUCAAAAUCUAUGGGCUAACCCUUACGAAAAAACUUAUUUUUUCGGUAAAUGCUCUAUAUACUGAAGCCUAUAAUUUUUAGUGUUGUUUUAAAAUUUCUAACACAUUCUACAUUUGUAUUAAUGUAUAUUAAACUCUCUUUCAUGGUACAUGGGUAUCAUUUAAAUGUUUUGCCAAUUAAUUUGGUAAAACUUCAUAAUACUCCCUAAAUUGGUUGACUUAACCACUAUAAAAUCACUAUUUUCUAGAACAACGGAGACAACACAGGUUUCAAACCUCUUUGACCUUCAUCAUAUGUUUGUGAGAGAUGCAACAAUGCAUUAAAAUAGAAUUUUCAUUUUUUUUUUAAUUUUUCUCAAAAUCUAUGGGUUAACCCCUAUGAAAUAUUUAAUUUUUCGGUAAAUGGUCUAUAUACUGAAGCCUAUGAUCUUUACUGUUGUUUGAAAAUUUCUAAACACAUUCUACAUUUGCAGUAAUGUAUAUUAAACUCUCUUUCAUGGUACAUGGGCAUCGUUUAAAUUUUUUGUCAAUUAAUUUGUUAAAACUUCAUAAUACUCCCUAAAUUAAUUGACUUAACCACUAUAAAAUCGCUAUUCUCUAGAAAAACGGAGACAACACAGGUUUCAAACCUCUUUGACCUUCAUAAUAUGUUAGUGAGAGAUGCAACUAUGCAUUAAAAUAGAAUUUUCAUUUUUUUUGAAUUUUUCUAAAAAUAUAUGGGUUAACUCCUACGAAACAUUUAAUUUUUCGAGAAAUGCUCUACAUACUGAAGCCUAUGGUCUAUACUGUUGUUUUAAUAUUUCUAAACACUUUCUAUAUUUGUAUUCAUUUAUAUUAAACUCUCUUUCAUGGUACAUGGGUAUCAUUUAAAUGUUUUGCCAAUUAAUUUGGUAAAACUUCAUAAUACUCCCUAAAUUGGUUGACGUAACCACUAUAAAAUCACUAUUUUCUAGAACAACGGAGACAACACAGGUUUCAAACCUCUUUGACCUUCAUCAUAUGUUCGUGAAGGAUGAAACUAUGCAUUAAAAUAGAAUUUUCAGCUUUUUAAUUUUUAUCAAAAUCUAUGGGCCCCUUACGAAAAAACUUAUUUUUUCGGUAAAUGCUCUAUAUACUGAAGCCUAUGAUUUUUAGUGUUGUUUUAAAAUAUGAAGCAUAUGAUCUUUAGUGUUGUUUUAAAAUUUGUAAACACAUUCUGCAUUUUUAUUAAUGUAUAUUUAACUCUAUUUCAUGGUACAUGUGCGUCGUUUAAGUUUUUUGUCAAUUAAUUUAGUAAAACUUCAUAAUACUUUCUAAAUUGGUUGACUAACCACUAUAAAAUCGCUAUUCUCUAGAAAAACAGAGACAACAAAGGUGCCAAACCUCUUUGACCUUCAUCAUAUGUUAGUGAGGGAUGCAAUUAUGCAUUAAAAUAGAAUUUUCAUUUUUUUAAUUUUUUCUCAAAAUCAAUGGGUUAACAACCCCUACAAAAAUAUUAAAUUUUUCGGUAAAUGCUCUAUAUACUGAAGCAUAUGAUCUUUAGUGUUGUUUUAAAAUUUCUAAACACAUUUUGCAUUUUUAUUAAUGUAUAGUAAACUAUAUUUCAUGGUGCAUGGGCGUCGUUUAAAGUUUUUGUCAAUUAAUUUAGUAAGACUUCAUCAUACUCCGUAAAUUGGUUGACUAACCACUAUAAAAUUGCUAUUCUCUAGAAAAACGGAGACAACAAAGGUUCCAAACCUCUUUGACCUUCAUCCUAUGUUAGUGAAAGAUACAACUAUGCAUGAAAAUAGAAUUUUCAUUUUUUUGAAUUUUUAUCAAAAUCUAUGGGUACCCAACGAAAAUAUUGAAUUUUUCGAUAAAUGCUCUAUAUACUGAAGCAUAUGAUCUUUAGUGUUGUUUUAAAAUUUGUAAACACAUUCUGCAUUUUUAUUAAUGUAUAUUUAACUCUAUUUUACGGUACAUGUGCGUCGUUUAAGUUUUUUGUCAAUUAAUUUAGUAAAACUUCAUAAUACUUUCUAAAUUGGUUGACUAACCACUAUAAAAUCGCUAUUCUCUAGAAAAACAGAGACAACAAAGGUGCCAAACCUCUUUGACCUUCAUCAUAUGUUAGUGAGGGAUGCAAUUAUGCAUUAAAAUAGAAUUUUCAUUUUUUUAAAUUUUUCUCAAAAUCAAUGGGUUAACAACCCCUACAAAAAUAUUAAAUUUUUCGGUAAAUGCUCUAUAUACUGAAGCAUAUGAUCUUUAGUGUUGUUUUAAAAUUUCUAAACACAUUUUGCAUUUUUAUUAAUGUAUAGUAAACUAUAUUUCAUGGUGCAUGGGCGUCGUUUAAAGUUUUUGUCAAUUAAUUUAGUAAGACUUCAUCAUACUCCGUAAAUUGGUUGACUAACCACUAUAAAAUUGCUAUUCUCUAGAAAAACGGAGACAACAAAGGUUCCAAACCUCUUUGACCUUCAUCAUAUGUUAGUGAAGGAUGCAACUAUGCAUUAAAAUAGAAUUUUAAUUUUUUUUUUAUUUUUCUCAAAAUCUAUGGGUUAACCCCUACUAAAUAUUUAAUUUUUUGGUAAAUGCUCUAUAUACUGAAGCCUAUGAUCUUUACUGUUGUUUUAAAAUUUCUAAACACGUUUAAAUUUGCAGUAAUGUAUAUUAAACUCUCUUUCAUGGUACAUGGGUAUCGUUUAAGUUUUUUGUCAAUUAAUUUAGUAAAACUUCAUAAUACUCCCUAAAUUGGUUGACCAACCACUAUAAAAUCGCUAUUCUCUAGAAAAACGGAAACAACAAAUGUUUCAAACCUCUUUGACCUUUAUCAUAUAUUAGUGAAGGAUGCAAUUAUGAAUUAAAGUAGAAUUUUAAUUUCUUAAAUUUUUCUCAAAAUCUAUGGGUUAACCCCCUACGAAAUAUUUAAUUUUUCGGUAAAUGCUCUAUACCCUGAAGCCUAUGAUCUUUACUGUUGUUUUAAUAUUUAUAAACACUUUCUAUAUUUGUAUUCAUGUAUAUUAAACUCUCUUUCAUGGUACAUGGGCAUCGUUUAAAUUCUUUAUAUACUGAAGCAUAUGAUCUUUAGUGUUGUUUUAAAAUUUCUAAACACAUUUUGCAUUUGUAUUAAUGUAUAUUAAACUCUAUUUUAUGGUACAUGUGCGUCGUUUAAAUUUUUUGUCAAUUAAUUUAGUAAAACUUCAUAAUACUCCCUAAAUUGGUUGACUAACCACUAUAAAAUCGCUAUUCUCUAGAAAAACGGAGACAACAAAGGUUCCAAACCUCUUUGACCUUCAUCAUAUGUUAGUGAGGGAUGCAACUAUGCAUUAAAAUAGAAUUUUCAUUUUUUUGAAUUUUUCUCAAAAUCUAUGGGUUAACCCCUACGAAAUAUUUAAUUUUUCGGUAAAUGCUCUAUACACUGAAGCCUAUGAUCUUUACUGUUGUUUUAAUAUUUAUAAACACUUUCUAUAUUUGUAUUCAUGUAUAUUAAACUCUCUUUCAUGGUACAUGGGCAUCGUUUAAAUUUUUUGUCAAUUAAUUUAGUAAAACUUCAUAAUACUCCCUAAAUUGGUUGACUAACCACUAUAAAAUCGCUAUUUUCUAGAAAAACGGUGACAACAAAGGUUCCAAACCUCUUUGACCUUCAUCAUAUGUUAGUGAGGGAUGCAACUAUGCAUUAAAAUAGAAUUUUCAUUUUUUUGAAUUUUUCUCAAAAUCUAUGGGUUAACCCCUACGAAAUAUUUAAUUUUUCGGUAAAUGCUCUAUACACUGAAGCCUAUGAUCUUUACUGUUGUUUUAAUAUUUAUAAACACUUUCUAUAUUUGUAUUCAUGUAUAUUAAACUCUCUUUCAUGAUACAUGGGCAUCGUUUAAAUUUUUUGUCAAUUAAUUUAGUAAAACUUCAUAAUACUCCCUAAAUUGGUUGACUAACCACUAUAAAAUCGCUAUUAUCUAGAAAAACGGAGACAACAAAGGUUCCAAACCUCUUUGACAUUCAUCAUAUGUUCUCGAAGGAUGCAACUAUGCAUUAAAAUAGAAUUUUCAAUUUUUUAAAUUUUUCUCAAAAUCUAUGGGUUCCCUACGAAUAUAUUGAAUUUUCAGGUAAAUUCUUUAUAUACUGAAGCAUAUGAUCUUUAGUGUUGUUUUAAAAUUUCUAAACACAUUUUGCAUUUGUAUUAAUGUAUAUUAAACUCUAUUUCAUGGUACAUGUGCCUCGUUUAAAUUUUUUUGUCAAUUAAUUUAGUAAAACUUCAUAAUACUCCCUAAAUUGGUUGACCAACCACUAUAAAAUCGCUAUUAUCUAGAAAAACGGAGACAACAAAUGUUUCAAACCUCUUUGACCUUUAUCAUAUAUUAGUGAAGGAUGCAAUUAUGCAUUAAAAUAGAAUUUUAAUUUUUUAAAAUUUUUCUCAAAAUCUAUGGGUUAACCUCUACGAAAUAUUUAAUUUUUCGGUAAAUGCUCUAUAUACUGAAGUCUAUGAUCUUUACUGUUGUUUUAAUAUUUCUAAACACUUUCUGUAUUUGUAUUCAUUUAUAUUAAACUCUCUUUGAUGGUACAUGGGCAUCGUUUAAAUUUUUUGUCAAUUAAUUUAGUAAAACUUCAUAAUACUCCCUAAAUUGGUUGACUAACCACUAUAAAAUCGCUAUUAUCUAGAAAAAAGGAGACAACAAAGGUUCCAAACCUUUUUAACCUUCAUCAUAUGUUCGUGAAGGAUGAAACUAUGCAUUAAAAUAGAAUUUUCAGUUUUUCUAAUUUUUAUCAAAAUCUCCCUUACGAAAAAACUUAUUUUUUCGGUAAAUACUCUAUAUACUGAAGCCUAUGAUUUUUAGUGUUGUUUUAAAAUUUCUAAACACAUUCUACAUUUGUAUUAAUGUAUAUUAAACUCUCUUACAUGGUACAUGGCAUCGUUUAAAUUUUUUGUCAAUUAAUUUGGUAAAACUUUAUAAUACUACCUAAAUUGGUUGACUUAACCACUAUAAAAUCACUAUUCUAUAGAACAACGGAGACAACAAAGGUUCCAAACCUCUUUGACCUUCAUCAUAUGUUAGUGAGAGAUGCAACUAUGCAUUAAAAUAGAAUUUUCAUUUUUUUUGAAUUUUUCUCAAAAUAUAUGGGUUAACUCCUACGAAAUAUUUAAUUUUUCGGUAAAUGCUCUAUAUACUGAAGCCUAUGAUUUUUAGUGUUGUUUUAAAAUUUCUAAACACAUUCUACAUUUGUAUUAAUGUAUAUUAAACUCUCUUACAUGGUACAUGGGCAUCAUUUAAAUUUUUUGUCAAUUAAUUUGGUAAAACUUCAUAAUACUACCUAAAUUGGUUGACUUAACCACUAUAAAAUCACUAUUCUCUAGAACAACGGAGACAACAAAGGUUCCAAACCUCUUUGACCUUCAUCAUAUGUUAGUGAGAGAUGCAACUAUGCAUUAAAAUAGAAUUUUCAUUUUUUUUGAAUGUUUUUCAAAAUAUAUGGGUUAACUCCUACGAAAUAUUUAAUUUUUCGGUAAAUGCUCUAUAUACUGAAGCCUAUGAUCUUUACUGUUGUUUUAAAAUUUCUAAACACAUUCUACAUUUGCAGUAAUGUAUAUUAAACUCUCUUUCAUGGUACAUGGGUAUCGUUUAAAUUUUUUAUCAAUUAAUUUAGUAAAACUUCAUAAUACUCUCUAAAUUGGUUGACCAACCACUAUAAAAUCGCUAUUCUCUAGAAAAACGGAGACAACAAAUGUUUCAAACCUCUUUGACCUUUAUUAUAUAUUAGUGAAGGAUGCAAUUAUGCAUUAAAAUAGAAUUUUAAUUUUUUAAAAUUUUUCUCAAAAUCUAUGGGUUAACAACCUCUACGAAAAAUUUAAUUUUUCGGUAAAUGCUCUAUAUACUGAAAUCUAUGAUCUUUACUGUUGUUUUAAUAUUUCUAAACACUUUCUGUAUUGUAUUAAUUUAUAUUAAACUCUCUUUGAUGGUACAUGGGCAUCGUUUAAAUUUUUUGUCAAUUAAUUUAGUAAAACUUCAUAAUACUCCCUAAAUUGGUUGACUAACCACUAUAAAAUCGCUAUUUUCUAGAAAAACGGUGACAACAAAGGUUCCAAACCUCUUUGACCUUCAUCAUAUGUUAGUGAGGGAUGCAACUAUGCAUUAAAAUAAAAUUUUCAUUUUUUUGAAAGCUUCAUCAUAUGUUCGUAAAGGAUGAAACUAUGCAUUAAAAUAGAAUUUUCAGUUUUUUUAAUUUUUAUCAAAAUCUAUGGGCUAACAACCCUUACGAAAAAACUUAUUUUUUCGGUAAAUGCUCUAUAUACUGAAGCCUAUGAUUUUUAGUGAUGUUUUAAAAUUUCUAAACACAUUCUACAUUUGUAUUAAUGUAUAUUAAACUCUCUUACAUGGUACAUGGGCAUCGUUUAAUUUUUUUGUUUAUUAAUUUGGUAAAACUUCAUAAUACUACCUAAAUUGGUUGACUUAACCACUAUAAAAUCACUAUUCUCUAGAACAACGGAGACAACAAAGGUUCCAAACCUCUUUGACCUUCAUCAUAUGUUAGUAAGAGAUGCAACUACGCAUUAAAAUAGAAUUUUCAUUUUUUUUGAAUUUUUCUCAAAAUAUAUGGGUUAACCCCUACAAAAUAUUUAAUUUUUCAGUAAAUGUUCUAUAUACUGAAGCCUAUGAUCUUUACUGUUGUUUUAAAAUUUCUAAACACAUUCUACAUUUGCAGUAAUGUAUAUUAAACUCUCUUUCAUGGUACAUGGGUAUCGUUUAAAUUUUUAGUCAAUUAAUUUAGUAAAACUUCAUAAUACUCCCUAAAUUGGUUGACCAACCACUAUAAAAUCGCUAUUCUCAAGAAAAACGGAGACAACAAAUGUUUCAAACCUCUUUGACAUUUAUCAUAUAUUAGUGGACGAUGCAAUUAUGCAUUAAAAUAGAAUUUUGAUUAUUUUAAAUUUUUCUCAAACUCUAUGGGUUAACCCCCACAAAAUAUUUAAUUUUUCAAGAAUUGCUCUAUAUACUGAAGCCUAUGAUCUUUACUGUUGUUUUAAUAUUUCUAAACACAUUAUACAUUUUUAUUCAUGUAUAUUAAACUCUCUUUCAUGGUACAUGGGCAUCGUUUAAAUUCUUUAUAUACUGAAGCAUAUGAUCUUUAGUGUUGUUUUAAAAUUUCUAAACACAUUUUGCAUUUGUAUUAAUGUAUAUUAAACUAUAUUUCAUGGUACAUGGGCGUCGUUUAAAGUUUUUGUCAAUUAAUUUAGUAAGACUUCAUCAUACUCCGUAAAUUGGUUGACUAACCACUAUAAAAUUGCUAUUCUCUAGAAAAACGGAGACAAAAUAAAACUUCAUAAUACUCUCUAAAUUGGUUGACCAACCACUAUAAAAUCGCUAUUCUCUAGAAAAACGGAAACAACAAAUUCUUCAAACUUCUUUGACCUUUAUCAUAUAUUAGUGAAGGAAGCAAUUAUGCAUUAAAAUAGAAUUUUAAUUUUUUUAAAAAUUUCUCAAAAUCUAUGGGUUAACCCCUACGAAAUAUUUAAUUUUUCAGUAAAUGCUCUAUAUACUGAAGCCUGUUAUCUUUACUGUUCUUUUAAUAUUUCUAAACACUUUCUAUAUUUGUAUUCAUUUAUAUUAAACUCUCUUUCAUGGUACAUGAGUAUCGUUUAAAUUUUUUGUCAAUUAAUUUAGUAAAACUUCAUAAUACUCCCUAAAUUGGUUGACUAACCACUAUAAAAUCGCUAUUAUCUAGAAAAACGGAGACAAAAGGUUUCAAACCUCUUUGGCCUUCAUCAUAUGUUCAGUGAAUGAUACAACUAUGCAUUAAAAUCGAAUUUUCAAUUUUUUAAAUUUUUCUCAAAAUCUAUGGGUUAACCCUACGAAAAUAUUGAAUUUUCAGGUAAAUGCUUUAUAUAUUGAAGCCUAUGAUCUUUACUGUUGUUUUAAUAUUUCUAAACACGUUCUAUAUUUGUAUUCAUUUAUAUUAAACUAUCUUUCAUGGUACAUGGGCAUCGUUUAAAUUUUUUGUCAAUUAAUUUAGUAAAACUUCAUAAUACUCCCUAAAUUGGUUGACUAACCACUAUAAAAUCGCUAUUUUCUAGAAAAACAGAGACAACAAAGGUGUCAAACCUCUUUGACCUUCAUCAUAUGUUAGUGAGGGAUGCAAUUAUGCAUUAAAAUAGAAUUUUAAUUUUUUAAAAUUUUUCUCAAAAUCUAUGGGUUAACAACCUCUACGAAAAAUUUAAUUUUUCGGUAAAUGCUCUAUAUACUGAAGCCUAUGAUCCUUACUGUUGUUUUAAUAUUUCUAAACACUUUCUAUAUUUGUAUUCAUGUAUAUUAAACUCUCUUUCAUGGUACAUGGGUAUCGUUUAAAUUUUUUGCCAAUUAAUUUAGUAAAACUUCAUAAUACUCCAUAAAUUGGUUGACCAACCACUAUAAAAUCGCUAUUUUCUAGAAAAACGGAGACAACACAGGUUUCAAACCUCUUUGACCUUCAUCAUAUGUUAGUGAAGGAUGCAACUAUGCAUUAAAAUAGAAUUUUAAUUUUUUUAAAUUUUUCUCAAAAUCUAUGGGUUAACCCCCCCUACGAAAUAUUUAAUUUUUUGGUAAAUGCUCUAUAUACUGAAGCCUAUGAUCUUUACUAUUGUUUUAAAAUUUCUAAACACACUCUAUAUUUGCAGUAAUGUAUAUUAAACUCUCUUUCAUAGUACAUGGGUAUUGUUUCAUUUUUUGUCAAUUAAUUUAGUAAAACUUCAUAAUACUCCCUAAAUUGUUUGACUAACCACUAUAAAAUCGCUAUUUUCUAGAAAAACGGUGACAAUAAAGGUUCCAAACCUCUUUGACCUUCAUCGUACGUUAGUGAGGGAUGCAACUAUGCAUUAAAAUAUAAUUUUCAUUUUUUUUGAAUUUUUCUCAAAAUCUAUGGGUUAACUAACUCCUACGAAAUAUUUAUUUUUUCGGUAAAUGCUCUAUAUACUGAAGCCUAUGAUCUUUACUGUUGUUUUAAAAUUUCUAAACACAUUCUACAUUUGCAGUAAUGUAUAUUAAACUCUCUAUCAUGGUACAUGGGUAUCGUUUAAAUUUUUUGCCAAUUAAUUUAGUAAAACUUCAUAAUACUCCAUAAAUUGGUUGACCAACCACUAUAAAAUCGCUAUUUUCUAGAAAAACGGAGACAACACAGGUUUCAAACCUCUUUGACCUUCAUCAUAUGUUAGUGAAGGAUGCAACUAUGCAUUAAAAUAGAAUUUUAAUUUUUUUAAAUUUUUCUCAAAAUCUAUGGGUUAACCCCCCCUACGAAAUAUUUAAUUUUUUGGUAAAUGCUCUAUAUACUGAAGCCUAUGAUCUUUACUAUUGUUUUAAAAUUUCUAAACACACUCUAUAUUUGCAGUAAUGUAUAUUAAACUCUCUUUCAUAGUACAUGGGUAUUGUUUCAUUUUUUGUCAAUUAAUUUAGUAAAACUACAUAAUACUCCCUAAAUUGGUUGACAAACCACUAUAAAAUCGCUAUUCUCUAGAAAAACGGAGAUAGCAAAUGUUUCAAACCUCUUUGACCUUUGUCAUAUAUUAGUGAAGGAUGCAAUUAUGCAUUAAAAUAGAAUUUUAAUUUUUUAAAAAUUUUCUCAAAAUCUAUGGGUUAACUCCUACGAAAUAUUUAAUUUUUCGGUAAAUGCUCUAUAUACUGAAGCCUAUGAUCCUUACUGUUGUUUUAAUAUUUCUAAACACUUUCUAUAUUUGUAUUCAUGUAUAUUAAACUCUCUUUCAUUGUACAUGGGUAUCGUUUAAAGUUUUUAUCAAUUAAUUUAGUAAAACUUCAUAAUCCUCUCUAAAUUGGUUGACUAACCACUAUAAAAUCGCUAUUAUCUAAAAAAACGGAUACAACAAAGGUUCCAAACCUCUUUAACCUUCAUCAUAUGUUCGUGAAGGAAGAAACUAUGCAUUAAAAUAGAAUUUUCAGUUUUUUUAAUUUUUAUCAAAAUCUAUGGGAUAACCCUUACGAAAAAACUUAUUUUUCGGUAAAUGCUCUAUAUAGUGAAGCCUAUGAUUUUUAGUGUUGUUUUAAAAUUUCAAAACACAUUCUACAUUUGCAGUAAUGUAUAUUAAACUCUCUUUCAUGGUACAUGGGUAUCGUUUAAAUUUUUUGCCAAUUAAUUUAGUAAAACUUCAUAAUACUCCCUAAAUUGGUUGACCAACCACUAUAAAAUCGCUAUUCUCUAGAAAAACGGAGACAACACAGGUUUCAAACCUCUUUGGUCUUCAUCAUAUGUUAGUGAAGGAUGCAACUAUGCAUUAAAAUAGAUAUGCAUUAAAAUAGAAUUUUAAUUUUUUUAAAUUUUUCUCAAAAUCUAUGGGUUAACAACCCCUACGAAAUAUUUAAUUUUUCGGUAAAUGCUCUAUAUACUGAAGCCUAUGAUCUUUACUGUUGUUUUAAAAUUUCUAAACACAUUCUACAUUUGUAGUAUUGUAUAUUAAACUCUCUUUCAUGGUACAUGGGUAUCGUUUAAUUUUUUUGUCAAUUAAUUUAGUAAAACUUCAUAAUACUCCCCAAAUUGGUUGACCAACCACUAUAAAAUCGCUAUUCUCUAGAAAAACGGAGACAACAAAUGUUUCAAACUUCUUUGACCUUUAUCAUAUAUUAGUGAAGGAUGCAAUUAUGCAUUAAAAUAGAAUUUUAAUUUUUUAAAAAAUUUCUCAAAAUCUAUGGGUUAACCCCUACGAAAUAUUUAAUUUUUCAGUAAAUGCUCUAUAUACUGAAGCAAAUUUUCAAAAUCUAUGGUUUAACCCCUACGAAAUAUUUAAUUUUUCGGUAAAUGCUCUACAUACUGAAGCCUAUGAUAUUUACUGUUGUUUUAAUAUUUCUAAACACUUUCUAUAUUUGUAUUCAUUUAUAUUAAACUCUCUUUCAUGGUACUUGGGCAUCGUUUAAAUUUUUUGUCAAUUAAUUUAGUAAAACUUCAUAAUACUCUCUAAAUUGGUUGACUAACCACUAUAAAAUCGCUAUUUUCUAGAAAAACAGAGACAACAAAGGUGUCAAACCUCUUUGACCUUCAUCAUAUGUUAGUGAGGGAUGCAAUUAUGCAUUAAAAUAGAAUUUUCAUUUUUUAAAUUUUUUCUCAAAAUCAAUGGGUUAACAACCCCUACAAAAAUAUUAAAUUUUUCGGUAAAUGCUCUAUAUACUGAAGCAUAAUUUUUAUCAAAAUCUAUGGGCCCCUUACGAAAAAACUUAUUUUUCGGUAAAUGCUCUAUAUACUGAAGCCUAUGAUUUUUAGUGUUGUUUUAAAAUUUCUAAACAUAUUCUACAUUUUUAUUAAUGUAUAUUAAACUCUCUUUCAUGGUACAUGGGCAUCGUUUAAAUGUUUUGUCAAUUAAUUUGGUAAAACUUCAUAAUACUCCCUAAAUUGAUUGACUUAACCACUAUAAAAUCGUUAUUCUCUAGAAAAACGGAGACAACAAAGGUUCCAAACCUCUUUGACCUUCAUCAUAUGUUAGUGAAAGAUACAACUAUGCAUGAAAAUAUAAUUUUCAUUUUUUUGAAUUUUUAUCAAAAUUUAUGGGUACCCUACGAAAAUAUUGAAUUUUUCGGUAAAUGCUCUAUAUACUGAAGCAUAUGAUCUUUAGUGUUGUUUUAAAAUUUGUAAACACAUUCUGCAUUUUUAUUAAUGUAUAUUUAACUCUAUUUCACGGUACAUGUGCGUCGUUUAAGUUUUUUGUCAAUUAAUUUAGUAAAACUUCAUAAUACUCCCUAAAUUGGUUGACUAACCACUAUAAAAUCGCUAUUUUCUAGAAAAACAGAGACAACAAAGGUGUCAAACCUCUUUGACCUUCAUCAUAUGUUAGUGAGGGAUGCAAUUAUGCAUUAAAAUAGAAUUUUCAUUUUUUAAAUUUUUUCUCAAAAUCAAUGGGUUAACAACCCCUACAAAAAUAUUAAAUUUUUCGGUAAAUGCUCUAUAUACUGAAGCAUAUGAUCUUUAGUGUUGUUUUAAAAUUUCUAAACACAUUUUGCAUUUUUAUUAAUGUAUAGUAAACUAUAUUUCAUGGUACAUGGGCGUCGUUUAAAGUUUUUGUCAAUUAAUUUAGUAAGACUUCAUCAUACUCCGUAAAUUGGUUGACUAACCACUAUAAAAUUGCUAUUCUCUAGAAAAACGGAGACAACAAAGGUUCCAAACCUCUUUGACCUUCAUCAUAAAAUCGCUAUUCUCUGGUUAGUCUACCAAUUUUAACCACUAAAAAAUCGCUAUUCUUUGGAUUUACUUUUUCGUUUUAUUCUUGGUUUCUUGUGAUGAUGGUUCAUGUUUUCUUAAUGGUUCAUAACAUUUCUAAGCCAGUGUGGGUUUUAGCUGAAUGUUUACACCUUUUAAACUCUUUUUCAUGAGCAAUUUUCUAAAUGUGUCUUUGAUGAUAAGUUCCAUAUCGGUCCUUGUCCACAUUACAACUAUAUGGUUAAUGAAUUUGGUUUGAGAGAUUUUGGAUAGAUACUAUAAAUCAUGCAAAUAUGGUAUAACUGCGAUUCUGGACCCAAACUAAAUGACUUAUGCAAGGUUGAAUCUGUAUAUAUAUAUUGUUUGGUAAAAGGUUAAAUAAUUAUGUCAAUUUUUAAUUUGUGACAGAAAUUACAAAGAUAAUUUAUAUCAUAGAGCGAAAAUUUAAACUAAACAUCAAACACUAAGAUGACAAUGAAACAAACAUGUAGUAAUAGCGGAACAAAGUCGAAAAAGGCAGCUAAGAAAUGUCUUCGGACCAACGAAUCUGUAUAUAUUUGUUGUAAAAAAAGAACAUGUACAAAGCGUGAAUUUUUUUUUUUUGCUUUGGAUUGAUCGGUAACAAGAUGCGAUGACGGUUGUUGGCUCAGAAAAAUGAGGAGCAAAGGCUUAAGUAAGAACAAGAUGCGAUGACGGUUGUUGUCAAGUCAUGGUCUGGUCCUCCUCCUGGAUGGGCUCAAAAAUGCAAUAUCGGCAUCUAUCGUGAUAAGAGUCAAAAAAGAAGUGGGGCGGCUUGGGUUUUGAGAAAUUAACAAGGCAAGGUCUUAAUACAUAGUCGUCGUGCCUUCUCGAACAUCCUAUCUAAAGAAGAAGCGAGUUUACAUGGUCUUAGAUGGGCUAUCGAGAGUAUGCACGAUCAUAAACUCAACAGACUUAUCUUUGCGCUGGAUGAUGACACUUUCACGAAGGUGAUUCUAAGACCCAAGGCGUGGUCAAACUUUAGAUGCCAGCAGUUGGAGCUUAUGGAAAAAUUAAGCAAAUUGGAGUGGUGGAAAUUGGUGAAAGAAGAUAGAGUAAUUAAUAAAGGAGCUUUCCUCAUUGCUCAAUGUGUGAUACAACUUGUUAUGCUUAAUCUUAUGCCGUUUUGGAUGGCAGGCUUCUUUGAGAAUGAGGAAAUUGAUCCCUCUAUUUAGUUGGAACUUUGAGUGGAUGGCUGUCAAGAUUUUUUUGGGAUGCAUCAAUGGUAGUUUGUGAUUGAUCUUGGAUAUGGCUUUAUUUUUUAGUGGAAGUUUUAGUAUGCUUGGCUGUUUUGAGCAUCUUAAUCUGGAUAUAUUUUGUUUAUGUCACUCUUCCUUUAUGUUUCAAGCUUUCAAAUUAAUCUAUCAGAUGACCAAAAAAAAGGAUUGAUUGGUAACAUUCCAAUUCCCAAAUGUAGAUUCAAGUAAGGUCUAUCAGCAUGCGUAUGGGUAAAUUUACAUCCGGAUCCGUGGCGCAAUGGUAGCGCGUCUGACUCCAGAUCAGAAGGUUGCGUGUUCGAUUCACGUCGGGUUCAAACUCCCCGAAACUAAUUCCGGAAUAUCUUUUUGCUAUGUGCCUAUGUCUAGUUUUGAGGUGACUGGUCUCAUCUCUGUUCCUCCUAUCUGUAGCCUCCAUAAAUCUUCCACUUCAGUUCCCUGAGCAUAACGAUGGACCGGUUUUGGGCUGAUUAAGGGCCUUUGGUACUCUCAUAGGCCCGUAUGUUUCUUAAACCCUUCAACUAGUUACGGAACCCCCUUGAUUAAUACGCAAAGGCCUUUUUUUCUUUACAAAGAACCACCGUGAUCAUCUGUUGACUUCUUAAUUUCAAAAAAAAAAAAAAUCUACUUAAUAAAUUCGAUAGAUUGAAAUACUAAUAAUUAUAUUAAAUUUCAAUCUCAUCCACUUGCAGUGAAAGAUAAUGUUAAAAAAAGUAAAUAUCUGGCUAAAAAAAUAAAAUAAAAUACAAACUUUCCUUUGCGCAAUGCAGAGAAAAUUAAAUGAAAAAAAUUUAGGAUCGGUUUGUAUUUAAAAUCCAACAUCAGAAAAAAAAAAAAAAAAAGAAAAAAAUAGACAAACAAACACAUCGGAGGAGACGAAUAGGCAUUUGUAAUAAAAAAAACAACAGAGUUCGGACAUUUUUUCGAUCUCUUGUUUUCCUGUCCAAAAGGUAGCAAAUUUGUGGGUUUCUCGGAUCUGGGAUUCUCCCCAAUUUGAUGUUUCUGAUUCUUCUUCUUCAGACAUUAAAUUAGGCUCUGUUCUUCGCCUUUUUUUGCUUAUAAUAAUCAUUCGGUUAGAAUUUUCCGACAAAAUAUUCCAAUUUUGCGACAAAAUAUUCCAACCUUGAAGUUUCCUUAUGGAUUUGCGGGUUCCGAUUCUCUUCUUCUUCUUGAGUACAAUAUACUUUCCUUCUGUCUUGGCUUCAUCUUCCCCUGUGGACUUUUCCGUCUGCAAUCACGAAUUCGAGCUCUUUCGCUUCGAUUUAGACUCCAAAUGUCCUCCUUCUCUCCAUCCAGCUCCUCCUCUCCAGGUACUACUACGAUUAAAAAUUGAGGCUUUGCUUUGAGACAAAAUGUUUAUUUGUUGUAGUAAGCAAAUUAUGAUGAUAGCAUAAUCAAAGUAGGUGUCUUUGGCUCUCCCAAGUGGGUAAAAAUUGGAUUUGAAGUUUUGUUUGUAACUAAUAGCUGUGUCUCAAUUGCCAGGUAGAUGGAGAGACACUUGACAGGUUAAUGGGUUUGAACUAUGAUGGGAAUGGUUAUAUGUCUGUUCUCUUUUAUGCUUCCUGGUGCCCUUUCUCACGUGUUGUGCGUCCUAAGUUUGAUAUGUUGAGUUCCAUGUUCCCUCAAAUACAGCACUUAGCUGUCGAGCAUUCUCAAGCACUCCCAUCGUAAGCCACCCUUCUCUUUCUUGAAACCACACUACAUACUCUCCUCCAUACUACUUAGUAUAGAUAAGGAAGUUGAUUAAGUGACUCACAUUGAGAAAAUGGUUAUUUAAUCUUAUAUUAUUAUUGCUUCUCAGGUUAUUCAUAAUUUUUGCAGCAUAUAGGAUCAGUAUGUUCACAAGAUUAUUAUGUUAAAUGAAUGUUAUAUGUGUUUCCUGUUACUUUAUCUUACAUUUUCAUUGCAUUUGAUUUAUAUCUGUUGAUUACAAAUCUAGGUUAGCUAAUUCACCAUUACUCUCUCUGACUUGUUUAAUUUUCUCAUUAGUGGGUUUUUAUGUCUUUAUAGGUUUCAUCAUGUUGUUUGGUCUUUUCAUUUGCCUUACUAACUGAUUUCACUAAUUAAUUUUGUUGCAGUGUCUUUUCAAGGUAUGGUAUCCACAGCUUACCUUCAAUCCUGAUUGUAAAUCAAACUUCAAAGGCACGUUACCAUGGUCAAAAGGAUCUUACAUCCCUCAUUGAGUUUUAUGAGGAAUCUACAGGUGAGAUUCAUCAGACCAAGUCUUUGCUUGUGCUAUCUUUUAUCUCAGUCAAUAAUAACUGAAUGAUUCUUUCGGUUUUGCCAGGUCUCAAGCCUGUACAGUACGUAGCCGAAGCUGAACCAACAACCAGCUUAGACGCUACCAACGGUAACCUGAUCACAUGGUUACGCAAAGGGACAUCUAUCAGUGAAAUAUUCAGACAAGAUCCGUUCUUGGUACUGUCUCUGCUGUACAUCUGUUUACAAAUGGCAAUCCUCGUCUUCCCCAUAGCAGAAUCUCGCAUGAAAGCGUUGUGGGCUUCUUACGUUUCCAAUCUAAACCUGGAAAGGUUUGGAGAGAUUAGUCAACUGUUCAGCCGUGCUCUCCACAUGGUCGAUGUGAGGAGGCUAUGGUUGAAACUUAGACUCGUCAAAACAAGGAACUUUCAUGAAAGAGCAAUGAACGCUCAAGCCUGGGCGUCAUCGCUUGCAUCUGUGUCUCUUGGCCAAACUUCAUCAGACCAAUCCUGAUCCCUUGAAGAGAUCCUUCUAGUAUUUAAGCGUGUUCUUGAAACCUGAGAGUUUCCCUUUACGUGGAAUGUUAUAUUGACUUUCUGAGUUAAUUUGUCUGCAUCAAAAGCAUGUAAAUCCAGGAACAGCUUUGCUUCUGCCUGUGAAUAUCUUUCUUUCUCUCUUUUUUUGUUUUGUUUAUGGAUCUGAGAUGUAUGUUUUGGCCUCAUUUCUUUUACUGAAUAAUUUUUGUUGAGUCAGCUAAAGUUUAUCUGAAUCUUCAGGGCAACUUUCUUUUGUAAUGUUUGUCAGAGUUCGGUUGGCUUCUCAAUAGACACAUGGUAUGGUAAGCCAUGAUCAUGUGCAAUGGAACAUUACUAUACAAAGGUGCAAUAUUAUCAACAGUAGGAUGAGAUGAAACACGUCAAAGACGAGUUAUUCCCAAAACUAUAGAACUCAAAAAUAAUAUAGUUUGAUCUAGGGAAAAUUGGAAAAAUGAGACACUUUGAACUUUUAUUUGUCACAAUAGGACUUCUGAUAUUUUAGGCAAUUCUGAACAUAUUUUACCCUUCUUUUAUGGGAAAAAUAGUAAACUGAAUUUUAAAAAUGUUAAAAAAUAUGAAAAUUAUUGGAAACAUAAGCAUGAAAAUAUAUAUGUUUAAAAGUUUUUUUUUUUUAAAAUUGGAAUCAUAUUUUAUUUUAUUUUCUAGCUACAGUUAGAAUACUCAUUCUGGUCAUCUACUUAGUCUAGAAAUCGGAUACUAAGUUUUAUACAUAGAUAUAUCUUGGGUAUACAACGUAAACAAACAUUUCUUGUAUAUUCUAACAAAUCUAUAAUUUGUUACGUUAUAAUCAAGAAAGAUGUCUUUAGUCUACCUACAACUUGAUAACAACAUAUAGCCACAACUCAACGAUAUACCUUGGCUAGAUUACGUGCUAUAACAUGUUCUGCCUUUUAUGUUAUAUGACGCCUAUAGGAAGAAUAUGUUUCUCAUCUACUCUAUUGUGUUCUGCGUAGGUAGUAUACAUAUUCUAGGUAAAUCCGUAAGAUAUGGAAACUUCCAUAUUCAGUUAAAGAUAUUUCCUAAAUCUAAACUAAAUUUACCCUAAAUUUCGCAAAUAAUAUUUUCUCACACGUUUUUCUCUCAAAGAACUUGCAGUGACUAAGACAUGCUUCAAUGAGAUCAAAAGAGAUAAAAGCAGCUAAAACCAAAAGUAUUUGAAGUUGAAAGAGUUGUCUUUUCGCCAUCUACUUUCCAAGUUGAUAAAGGAGCUAAAACUAAGAGUAUUUGAAGUACUCAAAUUCUAAGUGUAUUAUUUUUUUGUGUGUUUUCUGUCUUGGUAUCCUCUAAGUGAAAGAGUACAUUAAGGUUGAACCCUCUUAAUGACAAUAUCGAAUAUAAUGUUAUUUAGGGAUUUGUUUAGGGUUUACGGUUUGUUUAUAGUUUGUUUAAGGUUUAGGAAUUUGUUUAGGGUUUCUUUAGGGUUUGUUAAUGGUUUAUUGCAUACGACUAUGGGUUUGGGGGUUUGUUUAGGGUGUAGUGAUUCUGACCAAAAACUACAAAGAGUACUUAAAUAUUCUUUUGCAAAAACUAACAACAUACUUAAACAUUCUCGAGUCUGUUACAAAAACAUUCUUGAUCUGUCUCCCUUGAUAGAGACUGAGACGUUUGUAGCUCAUACUGUGAUUCUGAAUAUUCAUGAGAGACAGUACCACCUGGGGCUUCUUACUUUAACUCUGACUAGUCUGUGAGAGCCUCACCAAUUGUGAAGACCAAUAAUGGCUGAGACAGCAUCUAGAUAAAGAUGUACACAGUAAUUGAGACUCAAAGUCACAUUAGUGGAGGCUCUUGUUCCUUCUUCUUCCUGUCUCACAAUCCAUUAGUAAAGCUUCUCCUGUAAAACAAGAAGAAGAAGUCAAAUUCAUUGGAAAAAUUUAAAUGUCAAAAUCACAUGCAAAUGUGACGAAAACAAGAACGCUGAAACAUUCUGAAACGCAGCCACCAAAGGGGAAACUGUGGGAUACAUGAUUCGAGUUGUUCAUAUACCACUAAACAUAACUACAUUACACAGUUUAGAUAUCAAAGGACACAAUUUCGUAUCAAUGACUGCGUAGCUUCAAAGAUCAGAACAUAAGACCCUAAUGAAUGAAGUCGCUCCUAUUUCUAUCUAAUUUUUCAAAUAACUUAGCCUGAGUAACAACAAAAAUAAGCACUUUGAGAUCAAAAGGCCGGAACUUUGAAACAGUAAGACUGCUUAGAUUAUAUGCAAAGAACAUUGAAUAUAAUGCCUAACAUCUUCUAUGAUUAAUUACUUGGAAAAACAGAUUUUUCCAAAGAAACACAAGAACCAAGAUUAAAUAAAAUACCUCAACAUCUUCUAUGAUUCAUUACCUCUAAACUUCUUAUUGAUAACCAAUAAAGAGAAACAUAGAAGAAGAAACAGAGAAGAAGAUAGAGAGAAUAGAGACGACGAACACUUAAUCGUGUGAAGAAGAAGAAGAACUCAAAAUCGCCAUUGAAGAGGAAGAAGGAGAUCGGCGGAGAAGAAGAUAGGUUAACCCGAUGUCUUUACCUUUUUUUUUUUUUUAUCGUGUAUUUUAUAUAUCUUUUUCCUUACGUUUUUACCUUUUUAAAUAUUAAAUCAAUUAUUAUUAAUUCAUAUUAAUUGGUUAAUUUUAAGGGUAUAAUAGUAUUAACAGAAAUCUAAAUCCUAUUUUCCUAAAUAAUCUUCUGAAAAUCUUAUUGAGACAAACCUAAGUUGAGAAUGUCCUAUUUUUCCAAUUUUCCCUUUGAUCUAUGGGUAGUGUGUUCACAUCAAACUAUGUAAUUCAUCCAUUCUUUUAUUACUAGUGGCAUUAAGCACACAAGAUUCUUAGUAAUCCCCUUAUAGCCUUAUUACAAACAUGAUAUCAUCAGCAAAACUUAAACCUUAUCCAAAACUAAUUAACUUUCUAGCUAAGAUUUGAAAACAUACUGAUUUAACAAACUAUUAUUAAGAAAGUAACAAAUGGUUAUCAAAAUCAGUUGGAGAAGUAAGAAAGGGAAAAGAUAUGUUUUACUGUUAUUAACAGGAAAAUCUAGGAUAAAAACUAUUUGAUUGAUUGACUAGUAAUAAUAAUAUGAUGCACUAACUGAAAAUCCAGUGAUCCGAAGGAUAGUUUUGAGUUUAUCAAAACAUUAAAAUAGUGGAGAAGACUUGAUCAUGGAGGAAGGAUUAAAGGAGCUUGUCAAAGAAGGCAAAUCAAUAGCUCUUGAAACAGGUCCCAAGUGGACCACUUGUUGCUUUGUCAUCACUUCAUUGCGUUAGAUAAGUUCCAAUUCACUUUCGUCACCCACAUCUCCAAAAUAAUGCAUUCAAAAAUAAAUCCAUUUACAUCUCUUGUAUAAUAUAUGUAUGUCAACUUCAACUAAUAUCAACCCAUGUCUAUAUACAUGAUAUUUUUGUCCCAUAAUUAAGAGGUUACUGAUAAUACUAUCAUACGCGUUUUCAAGAAGCUUUUUCAAAGCAUUUUGUGUGUAUUUAUAAAACAUCCUAUAUACGUGUAACUUGGAAGAAAAAAAUUAAAGAAGAGUCUCAAAUCUUGAUUCAUUUUCUAGUGAACAUAUUUCUCAAUAAUUAAUAUUUUUAAUUAUGCAUCCAAAAUUCUCAAAUCUAUUAAAGGAUCUUGAAACCACUUCCACAAGGGAGAAAAUACCUAAGCCCACUUGGCUCCAAUAAUUCAAAAGAUCUCAUUUUCUCACAUUAAUGUCAAACAAAUAAAAUCUUCUCUUUCUCUCUAGAACUCCUGGAAACCCUGAUCAAAGCUCCAAUGACAUCAUCUCAAGGAGACAUGGAUCUUGAGGAGUGGGAGUUACUCCCAAAAAGCUAUUUAAAGGAUCUUGAUCAUGAUGAGGAUCAUCAAGAAGCCAUGAUACUGGAUUGCUUCCUCUCCCCAUCUACUCAAGAUCCUCUCCAUAAGAUAGAGUCUCCUCCAAUAUCCAGAGUUGUCCCCACAAAGCUCCUCCAAGUCCCCAUAGCUUGGGAACCCGUGUUGGAUCACGAGAAUAAGAAGAUGCCCGGUCUUGACCCGGAUCCAACACAGACCCUUUUGAUGGAGUCUGUCCCGUCACCAAGAGUAUCCUUCAAGAAAACGAAGGAAACUGAAUUUGCCGACAUGAAAAUUGACCCACCAGCGAGGAUCAUGAGUCCUGUGCCUUUGAUAGAUGCUGCGAAGCCCUCUGAUUGCGAAGGAAGCGAUGACUUGCGAGUUAAGAAAGAAAAUGAUGAUGUGACGAGUGAACAUGGUGGUGAGAAACUGAACUUAUGGAAGAUUGGUCUUAAUGGGAUCGGAGCUGUUUGCUCUUUUGGCGUUGCAGCAGCUGCUGCUACAGUAUGUGUCUUGUUCCUCGGACACAACAACAUCAAAGUUUGUAAGAACAAGAACCAUAAGCUUAGGUUCCAGAUUUACUCCGAUGAUCACAAGGUAACUUGAACAUUUUAUGAAAAUUAUAUUAAUUAAUUAAUUAAAUGGAGUUUUGUAUAUUAAUAAGGUAACUCCACAAGCUUAGGUUCCAGAUAUGAUGCAUCUUGAUUAAUUAUUAGAGAUGUGAAAGCUAAGGGAGUGGUAGAUUUGGAUAAAAACCUAUAAUUAUUUUUGUGAUGUUAGUGAUAUAUGAGGAUUAUAGUUGGUAAUUGUCUGCUGGUUAUAAUUGGGUAAUUGUUGUUCUAGAAACUUUGAUUAGAUUAGAUGAUUGUUAACUUUUUGAUUAAACUAUAGAAAUAGGUUUUGGAUAUUUUAAAUCCAAGUAAAUGAAUAUUGAUAAGGUGAAGCUUACGUGUUUAAGUGAACAAUUAUCUGUAGUUGAAAAAGACAGAUUCUUCUUUGUAGCUUUAUACGUUUCGUAAUCCGAUUGUUUCUAACUUUAUAGCUUGUGCCAAACGUCAAAGUUUACUUUUAAGAAGAAAAUUUCUUCGUUUAUUAAAUGCUAACAACAGACCCAAAUACCUAUAACACGUAUCAAACUUUUUGAUUAAAAAUGUGUUACUUAUUUAAUGGUGGUUGUAGAGGAUGAAUGAAGCUGUGAAUCAAGCAACAAAGGUUAAUGAAGCAAUCUUUGCAAUGAAAGGUGUUCCUGUCGUAAGAGCUCAAAUAUCUUUUGGAGGUUACUAUGGACUUUGAAUCCCAACCGUUCAUAAUUCUCUUUCGAAUCAAGGGAUGAGAUCGAGUCUACCCUCAUCUACCAGCUUCAUAAGUUCAACGUGCAUGCAUGGUCAUUGUCAAUACAUUUUGUAAAUUUUGUUAAAAUCCAAUCUGUUGAUAGAUCAUUGUAAAAUUUCAUGUAAUAUUUUAAUCGUUGUGAAAUAAUUUAAAUAUCUUUUGUGAUUUGUUUGAUUUAGUAUUUCGAUUCACGUAGUUUUUUUUUUGUUCUCUCCAAAACGAAAGCAUUUCAUGACUAGAUGAGAAAGUUUGCUAUUCUAUAUGCCAUAGUAGGGCUGUGAGUUUGAACUUAACAUAACCAAAAUUUCCGGUUAGUUCAGUUUGAUUUGGUAGUUUUUUUUUUAAAUUCGGAGUUCGGUUACCAAAUUAACCAAAUUUUAAACCGAAUUUCAACAAAAUUAAACCAAAAUAUAACUGAAAUCAAAAAAUUUGGUCGAAUUUAAAAUAAAACCGAACUAACUGAAUAAUAGCGAAUCGAACCAAAUUUUAUUUUGGGUUAGUUAAGAUUUAUAUUGAAUUGAACUUAUCAAAAACUAAAUUAUCCGAACCGAAUUUACCUAACGCCGCAGGCCUAGCCAUAUGGUGUGCCAGACGGGUUAAAAGUUAAAACUUUGUGUUUAGAAAAUUCCGAAAAAUUGGAGGGUCGUUCUCAAGGAGGCCCAACCACACCCCCUUGUUAGGUCCAUUACCAAUCCUUACAACAGCACAAUAACUUAAAAAAGAAAAAUAGUGAGCAGUGAAAAAAAUUCAUUACCAUUUGCCCACUGGUCGGGAAAAAGGACAGAAAAGUAAAAUUUUAACUGGUCUAAAAAUCGUACCGUCGAUUUUUAUAAUCGAACGGUUCACAAAGACCGCUCCAUUGACUGCCAUAGAGAUGAAAUAUAAGACAGAGAUGCCCUAAGCCGUGAAGUCACAGAGAGAGAGAGAGAGAUAGAGAGACACAAAGGUUUCGCCAGACUCGCCGGAGAAAUUAGCGGCUACGGUGGUCAGAAUCUCUGUAAGUAAAUUGAAUCUUCUCAGUCUAAAUUAAUUUCUCUUUUGAAUUUCCAGUUCUUGAAUAAGUUUUAAAAAUCCUCUCUUUAUUACACUAAUAAACUCUGUUUCGUUUCAGACAAAUUCUUCAGGUGAGACAAAUCGGAGAAGAAGCUCCAAAAAUGUCGUCGUUAGAACAAGAAAUGUUCUUACAGUGGGGAAACAAGAAGAGAAUGAGACGCCUAAGAGCCUCCGCCAACAAGGACAACAAACACAUCUCGCAACGCCAAUCUAACUCUUCAUCUCACGAGACCUUCCUCUUCCACUCCUCGAGAUUCUCCAGGUACACAAAGGUUUCAUCUUUUUCCCUUAAUCGAAGCCAAGACUCAAUUUUUUUUAUUUCUUUGUUAAGAGGAUCAGAAGGUGCAAUACUCAGAUCCGGAGGAUCACUACCAGAGAAAGAGAAAGAGGAGAGGUAUUACACUACGAGAGGCGUUGUUGAUACCAACGGAGAAGACAGCAACGGCAAGGGAGAGGAGAGUAUGUGGCCGAAGCUGUUUGUGACGCUGUCGAGCAAAGAGAAGGAAGAAGACUUCAUGGCUAUGAAAGGCUGCAAACCUUCUCACAGGCCUAAGAAGAGAGCCAAACUCAUCCAAAAAAGCUUACUCGUAAGUUUCAAAGUUCAAUACUUCCUUAUUUUUUCUUUGUUUAAAGUUUUUGUGAAAAUAUUUGUUUGGAUCUCUAUGUACACAGUUGGUGAGUCCUGGAACAUGGUUGGCUGAUAUGUGUCCGGAUAGAUAUGAUGUUAGGGUCAAGAAGAGCUCCAAGAAGGUAUUAACAUUAUAAAACGUUUUUAUUUCAGCAUUUUACAGACAAUCCUCUAUAAUUUAAUAUAAUAAUAGCUUAAGAAAUGAUGUUAUGUGUGUUUGUGUUGCAGAGGAGAGCAAGAGGAUUAAAAGCAAUGGGGAAUAAUAUUGAUAGCGAUUCAGAUUGAGGAGGAGCUUGAAGAUUAUUAUAGCUAAUAGAAAUCUUUUGCGUAUUGACUUUAGAUUAACUUUUGCUUUGUGGUGUUCACUUAAAGCAAUCUCUUAUAAAAGUAGUUUCUCUCAGUUUGAUCAUUUUGAACUACAAGGAAGCAUUAUUUCUUUGUGGGCAAUGUAUGUAUGCGCUUGUUGUUGUUGUAACUUGCACACAAUCUUAUUGUAACUUACUACUGUUUCAAAUAAUGUAUUUUUGGUCCCAUCUUUUGACAUAAUGUUCUUUUAUUUUACGUGGAACAUUGACAAGUAUGCGGUUGUUUGUGCUGUAUUCUAAGAAUCAAUCUAAGCUUUGACCGGAAAAGGAUUAAAGAAGCUUAUAAAAAUGGCUUUUCCUUGUCUUCUACUGGUACCAUAAGCAUAUGCUGAAUUGAAAAUCAUACAUGAGUUCCAUCUAAUACAAACUUCACAAAUCUACAAUUAUAAACCUUUUUCAUGUAUCAAGUUUUGUUCUAGUCUUCUUAAGAUAUUUACAAGACUGAAGAGUUGUUCAUAACAAGAUGAAAGAGUGUGUAAAGAAGAAAGAAAGCCUUCUUUGUACUAGUAGUAGCUGCAGAAAGCUUAUACUUCUUUGUUUCAGCAAAAACUAAUUGGAAACAGACUUGGCAGCUUGAAGCAUUUCCACUAUCAGUGUCUUCACAUCCCUGUAAACAUCAAAGAGUUACUCCAUCAGUUUUGGAUCGCUAUGAUAGUAAAACAGUAUCAGUAGUUUUAACAAAAAUGUAACACAUGGCAGUCUUACUUUCUGUCUUGUGCGCGUCUUGGGAACGGAACUCGGAGCUUGAAGGUGUUCCCUUGAAGAGUAGCCUGUCACGAACAAGAGUACAUAUGUUUAUGAACUAAAAGAUGAAAAAGGAUGAGAAAAAGGGGUUUUAGUGUUCAGAACAACACACCUUAACAUUGAAACCAAGGCUGUCCAAAUCAAGCAUCAAGGCGCUCUCCACCUGACAUUUAAGGAAGUUUAAUUGUGAUGUAUAUUGACAGGCCAGGCUCAGCCAGAUCACAUCGAACUAAAUGAACACUACCGUCAGCUAUGGUUAUGGUGACUAAGGUUAAGAUAGUGAGUUACUUACAGGUAUGGAUGUUGCAUGGUGUACAAUGGCUAUGGUAUCCUCUUCAUGAUCUUUGUUCAUGUGUGACUGACAAAAUUAAAAUUGAGUUUUUAGUAUGCAUCUACUGAUAUCUGUUGAUGAGAUAAUGUGAUUGACAUAUACCGUUACAGGCUUUGCAAACUGAGCUAUAGGAUCUACUUUGGCUGCUUGGUACUCCUCUUUGUUGAAUUCUAAAAAAAAAGGAGAUUUCAGAGAGAAAGCAAAAUCAUAUAAACUGGAUUUGCAUAAGACAGUAUAUAUUAAGAGGAUGAAGCAACCUCCAGAUCCUAGAAAAGCAGUUGCAACCCCUGAGACAAAUCUGACAACUUUUGGUUCAAUUCGCAUAAAGCUGAAGUCUCCAAAAUCAACCUUCACAAGAAAAAGUUCCGUUCACUUAUUGAGAGAUGUUAUAUUACAUUGUCACUUUCUAGACAUUGCAAGAUAGGAUGUUUACCCAGAAAGCAUUGGGAUGCUUGGCUAAAUAGGCAGAUCGAACAGCCGCUUGAUCUUUGUCUGAAACCUACAUAAUGCACACAACAAACAUUGAAGCUUAAAUUUAGAUGUGUAUAAACUUAAGUAACAAGGCAGAAACACAUACCAACACUGCAUCACCAUGUAGGGUGAUCCUCAAACCGGUCCUGUCCUCCGGGUCUCUUGCAACCAGUAGUGAGCAUUUUGGAUUAGCUAAUAGAUCCUGCAAUCAGGGAUGAAUUACAAAGCUGAGUCAGGUCUGUUUAUUUCCUGAGUCUUUAGUAUACUAAUCCACACAUUGUCAGUAUGUAAACUAUUGCUCGAACAGCACCAAAAUGCAGCAAAACAGAGAUGAGUGAUCUGAUAUAUGGUUAAAAUAAGCAACAAAACCUUUGUAUGGACAGCCAAGCUACUGACUGCUAGAAUCGGAGAACCAUCAGCAUCACAUGCAAAAUCAACCAUGGAUCCUGAAGGAUAACCCUCAUACUUCUGCACCAUUUCCAAAAAUUACAGUAAAUGAGAUAUGGCCAAGGUUACUUAUAUAUAAUAUGCUCUCUGAGAAACCAUGUUCAUAGGAGAAGUAAAAAAAACACUACUAGCUUACCUGAGAAAAAGUGGAGAGCAUACCACAAACACUACCGUUAAGCACAGUUCGUAUUUCUUCAACAGGAGAAAGACGAGCAGCCUUCGCCUGGAAACGAAACGAGACAAAACCGCUUAUCAACUUGUUUAAGUACACAUUCACAUCUACGCCUUGAGAAUAUGAUAGAUAGAUAUGUUGAGCCGAGCAUUAGUGUGUUACCUCAUGAGCUUGAAUCAAUUUGAAAACAUCAGUCUCAGCACUCCCCGGUGAUACAGCCUGAUUGAUACAUUAGACAAAGUUUAGAACUUUUUGUCGAAUAUUGAGCUCAAAAGCUAUCCAAAUACAUGAAAUCAUCAGACAAAUCAUCACUGACCCGAUCUACUCAAUCAUAAAAAUUCAAACUUUUCUGUCUCUAAUCAUAAAAAAUGUUAUUUUUGCAUAAAAAUUCAAACUUUUCGGUCUCUAAUCAUAAUUUUGUAUAAAAAUUCAAACUUUUCUUUCUCUAAUAACGAAAAGAAGAACCUGAGAAGAAGACUGAGCUGCUGAGGCCAUCACGGUGAAAGAGGAUGAGAACUUUCUACGGCGAACGGUGGAGAUCGAUUGUGGAUGGAUAAGACAUGUAGGAGGGAAGAAUCUAGCUCCUGCGAUUAAAGGCGUUGAGAAAUGAGCAACCACCGACUUCAUCUUCUUCUCCCCCACGAAACCUUCGAUGGUUCGUUUGGUUUACACGUCUUCUCUACUGUGCGAUGAGACACAACAACAACCCUCACAGUCCGGUUUGGUUUCAAUCUUGAAAUUCCGGUUUAAUUUGGUAUUAAUUUUUUUUUUAUCAAUGUUCCUUUCGGUUUACAAACAAACAACGUUCUUUUUGGUUUACACUUCUCUACAGUGCGAUGAGACAACAAGUCACAACCCCUUACAGUCCGGUUUGGUUUCAAUCUAUUUCUAAAUUUCCGGUUUGUUCUGGUAUUCAAAUUUUAAUGAUGUUCCUUUCGGUUUACAAACAAACAAAUUACACGAACUGAAAAAAAAAAACAAUAAUCAAACGAAGAGACGUGUAUACAUAAUCAAAUCAAAAGGAACAAAUUUGACGAUCAUCGCCGUAAAAGUUAAUCGGAGUGAGUAUUGCUGCGAUCGGAAUCGAAGCAGAGGUAAGAGCCGAGAGAGGAAGCGAGGCGGCGGAGCUGGAGGAGAGGGAUGCAGAAGAUGAAACGGAGGACGGUGGCGCGAGGGAGUCUCUCCGGGUUACAAGCUACGUAUUGCCAUAGAUCCGUCGAUAUGUUCACUGUUGUCUCCACCAACCUACUGUUCAGCACCAUCUCUAUCUCUCAAAAUCUCAAAAGUUGAUCGAGUUCUGUUCUGUUUUUUUUUGUUUAAUUACCGAACUCACGGUCUGAAAACAGAGGAAAAUAACAAAUAAACCCCUCUAUUUUUGCAAACCUUUCAAAUAAGUCCUUAAAGAAAUUAAAGUUAAUUCUGAAACCCAUUUAUUCACUAUUCUAAAAUAAAAAUUAAUCAGUUUGGGCUAAUCUUUGAAGGUACUACAUAUUGUUCAGUUCCAAAUAUCAGCCAACAAGGAUCAAGAUGAUCUACUUCAAUGGUCUUCAGCUCAACACAGGAAAACUAGGUUUGUUUAUUUGAAAAAAUAAUAUCGUUUGAAUUGUUAAUUUUUAUAUCUUAUGUCAUGUAUAGUCAAUGAAAGCUUGAAAAGAAACAAUAAUAUAAUAACAGUUUGAUUUAAUAAAUUAAAUGAAGAAGUUGGUAUACAUGUCAUAAUUAGAGUGUGCGUUAAUGAAUAAAAGCUAAAGCACAUAGAAUCUUAUAUAUAUAAGUUUUUUUUAUUAAAAAUUAUGUCAGUUUUGUUGUAUAAAAUAUAUAAUAGAUAAUAUAUUGAAUAACUUCGUCAAUAUGAUAACUUAUUCGUCAAUGUAAUCAUGUCAAUUACUACUUGAUCCAUAAAGACUAUAUUUGUGACAAAAACUUUUUAAAAGAUAUCCUAGAAAAUUUUUCUUUGUAAAAUAUAACAUUUUUCUUUUAGAAAAAAUCCUAACUAAGACUCACACUCUCUUUUUUCCUCUGCUUGCUUAUGCUCUGCAAUAUAUUGAUGAACUCUUAAUAAUAGUCUCUAUCAUCUUUCCUGGCUCAUCGAGUGUCCUCCCAUAAUUGUAAGUGACUUCAAAUCUCUAUAAAAAAAAUGUGGCCAUGUAAUGUGGUAUUAUUAUCUAAAAUUACCUAAGACAUGUUAUAAGGAAGUCAAAUUUCUUUUACUAGACCUACAAAGCUACUAACAGUUUUGAAAACUAUGGUCCAAAUUUUGUUUUUAUAUUAUGUGUCCUGAAAGUAAUGUUUUACCUGCUUUAAUACAAGGACGAGCCUGGUCUCAUCCACUAUUUGUUUUUGCUUCCAUGUAUUUAAACCAGUCUGCUUUGCUCCAACCAAAAAAAAAAGAACCAGUCUCCUAAUGUUAUCUUCUGUAAAUCUAUUUUUUUCUAUGAUCAAAACAAUUUGAUACGAAAACAGGAAACAAGGAUCCAAGAGAGAAAAAUAAAAACAUUAUAUUACAAAUAAUUAGUGAUAUAUAAUCGUCAUUAUUAUUAGAUAAAUAAUAAUCCUUCCGUUUCAGAAAGAUCUAUAUUCUAGAAAAAAAUAUUAUUAAGCAAAAAAUAGUGAUAUAUAAUCGUCAUUAUUAUUAUUAGAUAAAUAAAACUCCAUCCAUUUCAGAAAUAUCUAUAUUCUAGAAAAAAAAAUAUUAUUUCAAAAAGAUACAUGUUUUACCAUUUCAAAUUUUCAAUGUAUUAUUUAAUGAAAAAUUAUAAAUUUUAAAAACGUUAAUGAUGUUUAUUGAAUUUCUGUCGGCUAAAAGUUAUGAGAAAUUAUUAUUCACAAAAACAAUGCAUUUCAAUAAAACUUUAAUGUAUUUUUUUAAUAUAUGUGAAAAUUCUUAAAUAUGUAUCUUUUUGAAACGGAGAGAGUAUUUUUUACUAUUGUUUAUACCUAAGGAUGUCGUAUUUAACACUCCUAUCUAUCGUUUGUUAACUCUAAAUAUGCUAAUUGCUAUUUAUAUUUUGGUUAGGAUUUAAGAAAGAAAAAUAAAAAUACUUUUUUACAAAAUAAAAGUGUUGAGAAUUUUAGGAAAAAAAAAAGAGAGAUUAUUAUCACAUAAUUUUGUUUGGGAAAAAAAAUUGGGGACUCACAUCAGUUAGAGAGACACUAUGUGCUCAAUAUUAUUGGCAAUGCUGCCUUCACAUCGUAUACUGGCCCUACAUCACCUGUGGACACUCAGUCCAGCAUCCAAUAUGAUAUAUAAAGACACACAAAACACUUCAAGUAACUGAUGUGGGAUAAAUGUAGGAGAGAUUAAUGAGAAUUGAGUUGCUUUUUGCUGGGCUGGGCUGGGCCGAUUUGGUUUCAUUUCAAUUUUUUCAUCCAAUUAGGAUGAACAAGGCAUGAUUGAUUCAGUUUCCAGAGGAACGAGAGAGUCAAUGGCUGCUACUACUUUCAAUUUAAUGUUCUCCGUAGUAAUCGUUUUCAACUCAAAGGAGUAAUCAAUCAUCCGAAGAGAUUUGAUAGAACAGUGUAUUCGAGGAUAAACCUAAAUAAGAUUCGAUUAGAUCCAAUAUGCUUAAAAUAUUCCAAAAGAAGCAAUCGAUCAAAGAAACUUAUUAUUUUAAGAGUUAGCUAGAUCUUGAUACGUGCAUCCACACAGAUUAUUUUAAGAUUUAACUAGUUGUAAGUAUUUUAGUAUUGUUUCCUAACUAUAUAAUAGAUGUUAUUUGAUAUAAUUUUAUAUAAUAUUUGAAUUAUAAAUUUUGAUUGCCUCACUUACUAACCGGUAAAUUUGGUUCAAACAUUGAAUAGACCAUUACUUUCAAUCUAGAAUUGUAUAGAUUGUUUAAAUGUUGUAUCUUAAGAAAGAUUAAGAGAUUGUACAAAUUUUGUCAUUAGCAUCCAUGAUAAACGAAUAACUGAUAUAUAACUUAUUGAAUUCAUCAUUUUAUAAAUGUUAUGUCAUCUGAAUUAUAAUUUUCUCAGGUUGUUUAUUUGGAAAAGUAAUGGGCGGUUGGAUUGUUAGUUUUUAUAUCUUAUGUUAUGUAUAGUCAAUGAAAGCUUGAAAAGAAACAAUUAUAUAAUAACAAUUUGAUUUAAUAAAUUAAAUGAAGUAGUUGGUCAAUAUGUCAUAAUUAGAGUGUAUGUUAAUGAAUAAAAGUUAAAGCACAUAGAAUCUUAUAUAUGUAAGUUUUUUUUUGCUAAAAAUCAUGUCAGUUUUGUUGUUUAAAAUAAAUAAUAGAUAAUAUAUUGAAUAACCCAUUUAUUCACUAUUCUAAGAUAAAAAAAAAUAAUCAGUUUGGGCUAAUCUUUGAAGGUACUACAUAUUUUCAGUUCCAAAUAUAGCCAAGAAGGUUCAAGAUGAUGUACUUCAAUGGUCUUCAGCUCAAAUAAUUGAUUCUCAGAAUCCUUAUUGCUGGUUUCUCUUGGGUCUUUAAGGAAUGAUCAAAGCUUUGUUCCUAUUCAUAGCAGACGUUCUAGCUAUUCAGUUCAUUCUGACAUGAAGGCUUAUCUUCAAGGCUGCAUUUGGGCAGUUCAAAGCUAAUUAUAGUCUCAGUUUUUUUAUAAUACUAUACUUGAUGUUGAAGAUAGAGAUCUCAUUGCUGCGGUUAACUGGCCUCCUACUUAGCCUCCUGCUUAACGGUUUAAUGGUAAUGAAAGUAUUAUUUUCAGGGAAAAAAAAAAGAUUCUCCUCCACAGGUACUCUAAAAAGGAUUGAUACUGUUGAAUGACUUGUUUGCUUUUAUUAUAUCAAAAAAUAAGAUUUACAUACAACGCCCUAUUUCUCUUGUGCGAAGAGUUUACUCUCUAAUCAUUUACCGGUGGGCUCACCGGGAUCGCCUUCACCACCACUAGCAUCAGUCCUCGUGAAAAAGCGAACCGUGCUAUCCAAUACCUCUUUGUUAAAGAGUGUUUCCCUUCCAAACAUUAAAUGGAAGUGUCCAUCCAUAUCUAUAACCGUCUUGCUAUCUUGUGGAGCGGUCUGUUCGGGACCUGAAGAUGCAGCGGAUUUCGUCUCGACGAUACUCCGAGGUGCGGAUUGGGUGUUAACGUCACUUUUUCAUGUGACUAUCUCUCAGCUAUCCAACUUUGUUGUGAAAGCCUUAUCGACGCAUUUAAGCUUGGUCUUGAAUUCGCUGUCAUCUUCUCACGAAGAACUAUCUACUUUAUCUUCUUUUGGCAUUGUAAUUUAUCUUUUUAAUCAAAGAGGAUGGUACAUUCCCUCUUGUUAUUGUAACCAAAACAACUGAGUUUGAAUGAAAGUAAGCUGUGUUUCAAAAAAAAAAAAAACGUUGCAAAGGAAGAAAACUGUAACAUAUCUUUCAUAGUUCAAACUUCUUUGCAUUUGCAUUGUUCCAGGAGAGUGAAGAAACAUAAAGAAAGCAGCCAACACUUAUUAAAAAAAAAAGGAAAAUCAAAUGUGACUUGGUUGGAUUCUGGUGGUGGUUACUGGUUUUGAAGGAAGCCUUUGGCUUCUAAAUAAGCGAUGACUUCCUCUGCCAUAGCUACAGGGGAAGGACACUCUCCUUCCUUCUCUUUCAGCUCUAUCUAUUUCAUUUGUUUCAAAACAUACCAACAAACAAAAGAAACAUAUUCACACACGUGGAUUUUGAGUGAUCCUUGGUGAAUAAUUAUAUAUAUUCACAUGGAUCAUACCUCACAAUUCAAGGGAGAUUCAUAUGGAUCAUCAAUCCCUGUGAAGCCUGCACAAGAAGCCUUUUGUUAAAAUAUUCAAAUGAUAUGGCAGCAAUGUGCUAUCUUCUGUUACUCUAUGGAAGCUUCUGUUAACUCACCUUUGAUCUUUCCUGCACGUGCAAGCUUAUAUAAGCCUUUAGGGUCUCUUGCUUCACACAAUUGUAGAGACAUAUUCAUGUAAACCUAAAGAGUUUAUGCCACACAACAUCAAAUAAUAUGUUUUUUAAGCUGAAAAGUCUGAAUGUGAAUGGCUUGCCUCGAUAAAAGAUGAGCCCCGCAUCAUUUCCCUANNNNNNNNNNNNNNNNNNNNNCUGAAUGUGAAUGGCUUACCUCGAUAAAAGAUGAGCCCCGCAUCAUUUACCUACAAGCGUCACGGUCUUUCCUAUAUGGCGAUAUGAGGCUAGCAAUGCAGAUCAAACCAGCAUCAGCAAAGAGUUUCGCUACUUCUCCUGCGUUUAAUACACAUAAUGGUUUGGUUUACAAAUACUAUGAGAGCCCUUUUAAGUAUUUUUAUUUGUGCUCAUAACCUUCUUAGGAUUCAGACUUACAUAUAAACCUAAUUCAAAUGAUAAUAUGCAACUAUGUACUUACCAACUCUGCGUAUAUUUUCCACUCUAUCCUCUGCCUUGAAACCGAGAUCUUUGUUCAAGCCAUGACGAAGGUUAUCCCCAUCAAGGAUGUAAGAUAGCUUUCCCCGGGUGUACAACUCUCUACUUAGCGAGCAAGCCAACGUGCUUUUUCCUGCGUAAGUUUUACGCUUAGAUUUUAAAUAUGGAGAAAGAUUAUAUGUAACAUAAGAAUUAACUUUAGACAUUUACAAAGCAUCUUAGGUUAUUCAAAGAUAAGAUUGCUGUUAAGGAGAUUGACCUGAGCCACUCAGCCCUGUGAUCCACACCACACAACCCUUCUGGUUCAGCNNNNNNNNNNNNNNNNNNNNNNNNNNNNNNNNNNNNNNNNNNNNNNNNNNNNNNNNNNNNNNNNGUUCAGCAGCUUCUGCCUUUCAGUUUUCCCAAUGGGUGAUUCUUGCCAAAAUAUGUUUGUCGACAUUCUCAAAACCCUUUCCUAAUGAUCUGAUCUACCACCAGAAACUGCUAUUAAGCUGCAAAGACACGUUCAAAAACAAUUAAACAUGACCAGUCUUCUUGAAAUUUCACAAAGAUAUAAUAAUGUUGUUCCUUUGUUUACCUUUUGCUUUGUUCCUUCUCUAUUUUUUUGGGGGUCAUUGCGAGUGGGAAAACGAGAACCGACAUUAACGGGAGUGGCAGACAGUUGGAGACAACAGUGGGACACAUGGCAGUAACAAAGACUCGGUCCCUCGAGACUUGUUACGUUAUUGGGCACAUUAUUUGGGAAAAUAAUAGGCUAAAGCCCAUUCAAGGCUGCAGUCAAGUUUCCUAAAUUGUUACGGUCAAUGUUCUUACCAUAUAUUUUUUUUCUUUUUGUAAAAAUGUUCUUACCAUAUUUAAUGGAUUUAAUAUCUUCUUUUGGAAAGUGCAAGGGAAAUAAAUCUUGGUGGAAAUCUACGUAAAAUUCAAUUAAUUAGUGGAAGCAUAAAUCAUGGAGGAAUCUUUUUCCAAAAGAUUCUUUGAUGGUGGAAUCUUGUAAUUCUUAACUAAUUCUCUAAAGAUUUUGAUUCGAUUACUUAGAAAGAAUGUACAUAUGGGAAGAAUAUUUACAAUAAAAGCUGAAUAUUAUAUGUGUAAGAAAUGUAUACGUUUUUCUUUCGUUUUGCUACAAGCUCACUAAGUGUAUACGUUUAUUUUGUCACUGCUCACAGAAGUGUAUACUUUAUAUAGAUGUAGGGGGGACUAAUAUAAGUUAAUAACACGUAAAGAUCUCAUUUACAAAAAAAGACACGUAAAGAUCUCAUGACAUGCAAGAUUCAUUACUAUGAACUAUGUUCAAGUGUAUGGAUAUAGAAAUACUUUAUACUGAAUUCUACAAUAUUUAUGUAUAUAUAUGUAUGUGUGUUUGUGAUAAUUGUUUACUUAAAAAAAGACAUACUGCUGUGACAAUUCAAAAUCAGGAUCAGUUAUGGGGUUACCAUAUCAUUUGGAUUAUUCAUUUUCCUUAUACAAAUUCUCAUUUAUGUGCCACCAUAAACAGUAUCAUUUUCUUCUUCUAGUUUAUGAAGCAUAUAUACACAAACACAAACACGAAGUGUGUAGGUAUCUCUCUCUAUAUAUAUACACACUUGCAAUACCAAGAAUCACAUUUUCCAGUAGCUUUCUUAUCAAAGUCGAAUAAACCAAAAAUUAAGAACACCAUGAAUGCUUUAGCGGCAACCAACAGAAACUUCAAGCUUGCUUCUAGGCUUCUUGGUUUGGACUCAAAGCUCGAGCAAAGUCUUCUCAUUCCCUUCAGAGAAAUCAAGGUCCGUUUUCUGUUUUCUAACCGGUCUGAUUAAAGAUCACUAAAACCGGAAUAUAACCAAUUGUUGCAGGUGGAAUGUACCAUACCAAAAGACGAUGGAACUCUUGCAUCAUUCGUUGGAUUCAGAGUCCAGCAUGACAAUGCAAGAGGUCCCAUGAAAGGUGGCAUCAGAUAUCAUCCAGAGGUUUGCUUUCAUUUAAAACAAAAUAAUUAACUUCGAUUAUGGUAUGAACUAAACCAGAUUUUGAUUAUUGACAAGGUGGAACCGGAUGAAGUAAACGCAUUGGCACAGCUCAUGACAUGGAAAACAGCUGUGGCUAAGAUACCUUACGGUGGAGCCAAAGGAGGGAUUGGUUGUGACCCGAGCGAGCUAAGCAUCUCAGAGCUCGAACGUUUGACACGAGUUUUUACACAGAAGAUCCAUGACCUCAUUGGUAUUCAUACCGAUGUUCCUGCUCCGGAUAUGGGAACCGGUCCUCAGGUUUUGUAAAUAUCAUCAUUACAAUCUUAUUUCUUGUACUUAUAUGUUGAUGUUGUCUGAAUAUAAUUAUGCAUUUUUGUAAAGACAAUGGCGUGGAUUCUUGAUGAAUACUCGAAAUUUCACGGACACUCUCCAGCUAUUGUGACCGGCAAACCCAUUGUAAGUGCCUGUUCUAACAAGAUUUAGGUCUGUUUGGUUUAUAUGGUUAUUGAGGAUGGAUGUUUUGAGCAGGAUCUUGGUGGAUCACUGGGGAGAGAUGCUGCUACAGGAAGAGGAGUGUUAUUCGCAACAGAAGCUCUACUCAAUGAACAUGGAAAGAGCAUAGCUGGACAGAGAUUCGCCAUCCAAGUACUUAAAGAUGAUAAGUUUUCAGUUGCUUGCGUAGGAAGGCACUCAUAUAUUCUCUGUUUUUUAGGGUUUUGGAAAUGUUGGUUCUUGGGCGGCGAAGUUGAUAAAUGAGAAAGGUGGGAAGAUUGUGGCAGUGAACGAUGUGACAGGAGCAAUCAAGAACAAGGAUGGAAUCAAUAUCUCUGGUUUGCUUGAGCAUACCGAAGAAAACGUAGGAGUCAAAGGGUUUGAUGGUGCUGAUGCUAUCGAUGCUGAUUCAGUUCUAGUUGAAGAUUGUGAUAUCUUGAUCCCUGCAGCUCUAGGUGGCGUCAUCCACAGGUCUUUGAUGGUUUCUUGCUACACAAGUUAACCUUUUUCUAUGGAACUUCAUUUUGAAACUCUGAGUUUGUUUGCGUGUAGGNNNNNNNNNNNNNNNNNNNNNNNNNNNNNNNNNNNNNNNNNNNNNNNNNNNNNNNNNNNNNNNNAGGGAGAAUGCAAAUGAGAUUAAAGCAAAGUUCAUCAUUGAAGGUGCUAAUCAUCCAACCGAUCCUGAAGCUGACGAGGUUCGAAAAUGUGAUUCUUUGUUCUAACUCUGUGACAGAGACUAAAUGUGUUAUCCUUCUCUGCAGAUAUUGAGGAAGAAAGGUGUUGUGAUUCUUCCAGACAUAUACGCAAACUCAGGAGGAGUCAUUGUAAGUUACUUCGAGUGGGUUCAGGUACGACACUCAAACCAAUAAGGCAGAACAUAUAACUCAAUCGAUCAAAACACUGAUUCUCGUACUGUCUGUGUGUGUAUGUGCAGAACAUACAAGGAUUCAUGUGGGAUGAGGAAAAGGUGAACAAGGAGCUAAAGAGUUACAUGACUCGUGGCUUUAAAGAUCUGAAAGAUAUGUGUAAGACUCACUCAUGUGAUCUCCGUAUGGGAGCUUUCUCCCUAGGUGUUAACCGUGUGGCUCAAGCUACCGUUAUCAGAGGCUGGGGAUCAUGAGACCCCCCUUGGGAGUUCAGUAAUAAGAACUCAUACAAUCCUUACCUAUUGUUGAUUUUCUCUGUAAUCUUUAAAAAAAUUCUAUCAGUGGAAGCUAAUUAGAUGCAUUUUUUAAAAAACUCCAUUGGUUAAAGCAAAUAGAGUAUGAGAAGAAUUUAGAAACUAAAAACAAACAAAAAAAACUUUAGAGUAUGGAAGUUUGAUUUUUGAUGACUCUUGGCUGGUGUUUGCUUGAUUUAAUCUUUCUGUCCAGUCUCAUGUAAUAUUUCAAAUGUUUAGUAGUAGUCUUAGAUCAUUUCUUAUUGGAGUUGAAACAUGUGUGCACCCAUUUUUUCUAUGUCAUUUUGAGUUUUGACUUGACUAAAAUAAGUUCUUGUUAUGUACAAGACUGGCCGAAGACCAAGUGCAAGCAGUGCACCCGCUCCAUGGCCCAGUGAGCACAUAAGUUUUUUUUUUUUUUUAUCAUUUGUAUAACUUUUCACCAAUUUAUAAUUAACAAAUAAAAUAUUAUAAUUAAUAUUAAAUAGUAGUCAAUAUGAGUCAAUGAAUAUAUUUAUCAAACUUCUUCUUUCUCUUCAAAAAUUGUUCAUAUUUCCAAGUGACAAUGCAAUUUCAAAAAUAUCUCAAAAUCGUUUAUUCUUCGAAGAUUAUUGAAUACGUGCAUCUUCAACUGAAAAUUGACGUAAACAAGAUUAUUUUCUGUUAAUGAUCUGUUGUUUUGUUUACUGUCCUAUUUUUUUCUAUUGAAAAAAACUCAAGAUUUUUUUUGUUUGGUUCUUCGAUUCUUCCAAAAGAAGAUGAUUACACGUAUUAAUCCAAUGCAAGAGCAUAUAAAUAAAGGUGUUAAUGAAUGUCAAACUUGAUUGAUCCAAUGCAAGAGCAUAUAAAUAAAGGUCUGAAACUGAUAGAACAUUAUUAUUUAACUUAAAACUGAUAGAAUCCUGGAGAUCCCUCGACGGUCUUUCUUAUACGCCAGUCACGCACUCUGUGUGCAUAAACGGUGUUCUUCACUUCGGAGCUCAGUCCUUUGUCGAUCCCAACAAAUAUAAGAUUGUGACAUUCAAUUUGGGUUCGGAACGGUUUGGUCUAAUCGACCUACCUGACGAACUCCAAAUAAAUCCAGUUGUUGAUAGAUUGGUUAAGUAUCGAGGAACAGCCUGUUUGGUGAAAUACGACAACUGUUUCGACCUUCCCGAUGGAAAAAGAGUGCAUCGAUUAUUUGUCAAAGAGGAGAAUGAAGAUAAACUGAGUCCAAUUGUGACACCCGUCACUUUCGAAAUAAUAAAAACAAUUCGAUAAAUAAUAGUUUAUGAAAUCUCCAUUUAUAAAUAUAAAAGUCAAUAUAGUAUCACAAGGCUUAAAGGCCCAAUAACGAUAACAUCCGAAAUAUAAAGUAUGACAUAAACCGAAAGUUCGAAAUACGAGAUAACAUAAACGAUAGAUAGGAGCCCAAGGCCCAAAAGCGAUAAAACGAUAAAAUGGAUAGAAGUCCAAAGCUCGAUAGUAGUAAAAGCCCAAAAGCACCGGUCCGGUAUAAUCACUCCUGCUCAUCGGUCUCACCUGAAAGGGGAAAGAAGGAGGGGUGAGCGACAGGGGAAUCGCCCAGUGAGGUAUGGGGAUGCUAAACCGCAAACCACUGACUGAGUUCAUAGCACUACUAAAAUGUAGGCCUAGCUCUAGCAUGAAACAAACACGGCGUCUAUUACACCACACAAAACAAUCAACAUAUGUCUAGUGGACUAGACAUGCUACAACCAAUGCGAUAAUAGUAUACCGCAUUUCCUUAUAAGGAUAUAAUUAUAUAUGACUCUACAAGCGUCGUAAGUACAGUAGUCCACUCUGUACCCCCGCAAUCUCCACAAACAAAGCGGCCUAGUACAAACGUCUCUGUACCCCGCUAAACACACGGCCUAGUACAGAUAUCUCCGUACCCCGCGAUCUCUCAAACAAAACGGCCUAGUACAAACGUCUCUGUACCCCGCUAAACACACGGCCUAGUACAGAUAUCUCCGUACCCCGUGAUCUCUCAAACAUGCGGCCUAGUGCAAUCACCUCUGCACCCCGCAAUCUCAACACAUGGACUAGCAUAUAUAAAUAUAUAUAUAUUUAACAGUUCUUAACAUCAAUCAUUUCAAUCAACCGUUGAAUCCUCUAUUAUCCUAUUUCCGGUUUAACAAUCAAUAUCAAUAAUGAACAAGCAAGACUCUCAAACAGACUCGAUUCACAGAGACGGAUCAUGUUUCGAAACUAAACUUUCCAUAAUGGUAGUACUAAACUAGUUCAGGAUUUAAACGGAGAAGCCCUCACCUUAGCAACAAGAAGACGUGGUAUCUAUGAACUCCAGCUGCUCAAAUAGAUUCCAAAUCUGAAAUCAGGGCGAAAUUCUGAGUCGGAACGGCUUUCGAACGGUUUAAAACGGGUUUAGUCAAGGUUUACGGAAAAGUCAAGACGCUGGUCAAAGGUCAACCCGGUCAACUCUGACCCAAACCGGUCAACCCUUGACCAGAUUGGAAUUGAUUUAAACCAACCGGUUUAACUCACCCGAAAUCGAUUCCAAUUGGACCAUCCGGUUUACCUUAACCAUCAAUUGAUUAAUUAAUUAAUUAAUCUAUCUAACCGGUUUAUCUUAACCGUAAUCCAAUUGAUUUUAACCGGCGGUUUAACCUAACCAACCCUAAAUCAAUUUAAACCAGUCAAUCCAAUCGGUUAACCGAGUCACCGAGUUGACUCACCGGGUCGAAUCAGCCGAGUUGGCGAGUCGUCGGCGAGUCACCGGACAAUUGUCACCGGCGGCGACGGCGGAGGGUGGCGGCGGCUUACCGGAAAAUCAACGGCGGCGACGGCGGCGAGACGGCGACGCGGCGGCAGCUUCUCGGCGGCGAACGGACGGUGGCCGGUCACGGCGGCUCCGGCGAACGUUGGUCGGAGACGGCGGCGAGUGGCCGGGAUGCGCGGUGGCUCCGGCGGACGGCGAUGGCGCGUGCGUUUCACGCUCGUGCAGAGGCGAAACUUCGGGAGGCUCUAGCGGUUUCGUCCGGGCUCCGAUUGCGGCGUGGUUGGUGUCUACGGCUUCGUCUCGACGAGAGGAACACGAUGGUGGUCUUGCAUGCACGAAAUUCGCAGUGGUUAGGAAGUUAUGGGCGAUUUACUAAAACGGCCGAAACUGAACUAAAUGCAUGGCGGUUUUGCGGUGGUUACCUAGGGUUGCGAACGGUGGUGUCGAGCUGAACGUGAUCACGGCACACGGUUGCUCCGGCGACGAGCUCCGGCGACCCACUCACUGUAAAAGAUCACACCUCUUCUCUUAGCUCACUCUCUCUCUAACUCUUCUUCUUCUUUUGCAUAAAGUUUGUGAGGAACUAAAGUGGAUAAAUGUGGGUUUUUAUAAAAAAAAUACCUUGGGCCUCUAGGAAUGGAUUUGGGCUUCGACCUGAAUUCUUUGGGUUAGGAUUUGGGUCAUCACACCAAUAUUAGUUCAGAUUCCUGGGUGGAGGAAUGUUGCCGGGAAUCUGCACUUUGAUUUCAAAGGUACAACUGAAGAGGAUGAGGAGCUUGUGUUCGCGUCACGUUCCGUUGGGAGAGAUGGAUACCAUUACCUGAUCUACUUCAACUCGGAAACAGAGCUCCUGAGGAAGAUCAAGAUCGACGGAGGUUCAUCUGGUGACGACGUUGUGACAGAGAUUGAUCACUUCGAUUCGCUGCUUCUUACUUGAGUUUCGGUUGUCUAUUUAUCUCAUGGUUCAUUGUUGUCGCAUUUCUGGUUUCAGUUUCCGUUAUGUCUUUAUCUUAUAUGCUUCAUUGUCGCAUUUCUGGUUUCAAUUUCCGUUAUCAAAGAAGCUUGUAUGUUUGGGCCCUAAUAUUAAGUAAAAACCUCAGUUAAAAUAAAAUUGAUUACCAUUUUACUGAAACGUAUAUAAACAUGUUCUACUACAAGUAUAUUACAUGUACGAUUUAAAACUGUUACAAUCAUUACUGUGAUAAAUAUAUAAUCGUUUCAACUUAAUCUAAGUAAUUAUACAUUUCAUGUUUGAUGCCUCUUUUUAUAGAAUAGAUAGAUGAUUAUGUAUAUAGUUUUUUUUUUUUAACUUUUAUAUUAUGUUUAUAAAAUGAUGAUAAAUUCUUUUUAAUAAUAUUUGGAAAAAAAAAAGUAUUUAACCCAGCAAAAAAAUAAAAUAAAAGGCAAUUUAAUUUUUUUUUACAUCUCUUUAUUUUGGAAACACUUAUAAUUUUAAAGUUUCAAAAGUGUGUGCGCCAAAAUGGGGUUUACAACCUGAGUGGACAUGCGUUUAACUUUUAAUGAAUUCAAAUAUAAUUAAUUGGGCCAUGUAUUGGGCCGUAUAAUUAAUCAAUUCUCAAAGCCCGCGGCCCAUUGUGAAAGCAUCGAUUCCACCUCAUCUCUCUCCCCAUCCCUUUCUCCGCCGCUCACACUUUCGAAUUUACCUCUUAUACUUUAAAUGGAAUCGCCGGAGGAGGAGCGGAGGAUUUGGCUCAGCUACAAUCUACCGUGCGCGCGAUUGAACUUACAUUCAGGUUUCGCUUCUUCCUUUAUACUUACGCAUCAACCUUUGUUUCCUCGCUGAUCUGUUUGGAUUCCUAAUACAUCGAAGGAAGCUUAGGAUGUGCGUGCGUUUGCAUUUCAAAUUGAAGUGUUUAUGAGUUUUUGUGAAUUGAUAGCGUAUACACAAGUAACUUGACGUUAAGUUACAGCUGUUUGACUCAAAAUGUGUGUGUUUUUGUACUUCCAGAGAAUUCUCAGGUGGCGUCUGCUAGGUUUCAGGCUGCUGCAGCUAUUAAAGAAGCAGCUAUUAGGGAAUUGAGUUUUCUUUCUAUUAGGUGAGCAAUCAUGCUUCGCAAUGUAGUAUUUUUAGGUUAAUGCCUUUCAGUGAGUCUUGGUUUGAUGAGCCAUCUCUAUGCUUUCGGGUUUUGCAGGCUUAAAUCCUCUCAGACUCAGUCCACACUCUCAAGCCUAUUCGAAUCUUAUUUGCGAUGAAGCAUUGUUCACUAUUCUUGUCUCCCAAGUGGUAAGUAAGCACUCGGUAAAGCUGUGCUUACACUACUGUGUCUUACGAGUGAUUAGGUUUAUAACAAUGUCACUGCAACUGUAUUUGUGUAUGCAGGGACUCUAGUGAUGGUGAUGACCUGGAUGAAAGAAGGGCCAGUGAGGUAGCUGUAGGUGGUGGUGGAGUAACGCUCAAAGUCACCGCCAGAAUAUGGGAACCAAAAAAAAAAGAAGGGAAAAGCUAGCGAUCUUCAAUGGUAUCUGAUCAUUCAAAUGAAGAUCUUGGAGACACCAAGAAAGAAAAGGAGUAGAUUAAGAAGAAAGGUGUGUUGCAUGAGAUGAAGAGUGAGUUACAAGAAAGGAUUAUGACCGGUCUUGUGGGUUAGCACCAGACUUUCCUAUUACAACAGAAGAGCUUAUUACCACAUUAUUAUCUAAUCAAGUUAAAGCCAUUGGGAGACUCAGAAAGCUUCUUACAAACUAAACUUCCACUAGGCACAUUCCCCGUGAAGGUAAAAUACUCUCUGUUACUGUCAAUUCUACGUUCUAUUCUGGUAUAACGAGUGUGCGGUUAAUGACUGACGUUCAUGUUUUUUCUCAGGCCAUUCGAGGAGGAAGGUAAUACAUCUUUGCCGCUGCAUUUUUUUAUUUAUGUAAAAAAUUGAUAAUCAGCUGACAUCUUGUUCUUUCCAUCUACAAGUGUUAAGCAGGUGAAGUUUUAUGACGAUGAUGUGCGUUACUGGCAACUGUGGCGCAAACGCUCUGCAGCUGCUCAAUCUCCAUCUGCUGUCAAUCUUCUCACGUCCGGUUUCACCUCUCUGGUAAGUUCAUUGCCCUUUCUCUAAUUUUGGAUCAUGGCUUGUUUGACAUAUUGAAUCCUGGAAAGACCUCCUUAGUUACUAGUGCUGGAAAUGUGUAGACUAUGACAAGUUAAUAUCUCUGUGUGUGUUCAAACAGGCUUCUACUUUUCCGAAUUAUUCUGCUCCAACGUUCCUCCUUUCUUUGCAGCAGGGAGUUCCUUUCAAGAUCAUCUGGUAAUGAUGGCCCUUGAGUUGCAUUUGGUUCAAUUGAUGGUGUCAUUAGGGUUCCAAAAUUGAAUGUUUAUUUUGUUUUUUUUCUGCUGAUUUUAAGGUUAGAGCUAUAGGUGCUGAUCUGUGUUAAUUUCCCUGAAUGUUUACCGUCUUGUAGCUUGCACGUAGAUAUACAGGUGGCCAUAAAUGAUCAAUUUAUUGCUUGAUUAAUUUCAUGGCAUCAUCUGGCGAGGUAACUACAUAUUCUCUCAACUUCCCAUUCUUUAGUUUAGAGAAAACAUACGCAAGGUCACCUGCUAUGCUUGACUGACAUGUUAAAAAAAAACGGUAUAUUGGAACAUUUUCUUUUCGUUUCGUUUCUUAACAUCGAUUUCUAUUAAGUGAGGAGUCAUACAAUUUAAAGAUCUACCCUUACUUUGACAUAUGAUAAAUUACUCAAUAGAAGUUCAUUUGUCUUUCAUAAUAUGUUUGGGAUAACUUUCAUGCACAGCGUAUCAUUGCGAGCGGAAGGAAUUUAAAAAUGGGCAUCUAUUUUCUAAAUACUCUACAUUCAUUUAAUAUCCUGAUUAGGUUUUAGUUCUACUAGUGACUGCCUUUUCCAUUUUUCUUAUAAUUGAACGAUUUUUAAGCAACGAUUACCAACUAUUUUCUCUCUGUUAUUCAUAUUCAAUACAUGAUACCAGCCAUUCUCUAUCUACUUGCAAUUGCUAUUCAUGCAGCCCGUGGGAGUCAGAGAAGGCUGAUUUGUACGAGAGGCAGACAUACUACAGAGAUAAGAGGAUAUCACGUUACAGAGGAGAAGUAACAAGCACACAGCAAAAGUCACUUGUGCCAGAUAAGAAGGGGUGGCUUGUGGAAGAGGUCAUGACUCUCCACGGAGACUAUUUCAAUCUCCAUCUUAGAUACCAGAUGGAAGAAGUGGCAGCGUCAAAACCAAAUACAACUUAUGUGCGAGUAUACUUUGGGAUUGACUGGCUAAAGAGCAGUAGACAUCAGAAAAGAGUCACAAAGAAGGAAUAUAGCAGCAGACAACAGCAGAAGCAUGUAGCAUAAUAUAUAUAUAUAUAUAGACUUUGGUCUGAGAAAUGGAGGAGGGCCAUUGUAGCGCUCAAGCUCAAAGCAACCCUUAUUCUUCUUUACGUCAUAUAAAUAGCUGACGUGUUGUUUGUAGAGCUUUUUUUUUUUUUUUUUGUGAUUAUUGUGGUGAUGCUCUACCUUCGAAAGUGAUCAAAAUUGUAGUCACCUCGUGUGUUUGUUGUUCAAUGCUAGGGCUUCUUGUAAUUUUAUCUGGGCCUAUCUUGUAAUAAACCAAUACCAGAUUGUAUUGCCCAUUGGGCCAGUUUCUAAUGAAACAAUGUUAACAAAAAAAAAAAAGGUGCUAGGGUUAACGGUGGUCUAGUAUUUCAAAUUUGGAACUUGAGCUCCUCUUUCUCCACCUCCAUUUGAAUCUCAUAGCCGUAAUUCACAGAUCCUCUCCACCUCUAUCUUUAAAAUUCUUCGUGAUGGGAUCAGUUCACAGCCAGGACGAUCUAAAGAUCUGUGAAUCAGACGAGGAAGAAGAAGAGUUGGUGGACGUUACCUUUGGUGAUCGUUGUCUAAAAUCUCCUUCAUCACUAGACGAAGUUGAAUCAAAGCUCAGAGCCUUGAAGCUGAAAUACCCAUCAACGGAGCAAGCACCUCCGAACUGCUCGGUUGAUCUUUUGCGCUACAUCAAUGGAAACACUCCCAAAGCCAAAUGGGUCGCAGCUGAAAAUUCCACCUCUUACUGCUUCGUCAAGUCAUCCCCAGAAGACGGAGGAGGAGAUUCAGAGAAGGAAUGGUGGGUUCUGAAGGUCGGGAGUAAGAUCCGAGAGAAGGUCUCCAAUGAAAUGCGAUUGAAGGCAUAUAAAGAUCAAAGAGUUGAAUUCGUUGUUAAUGGUGGAUACUGGGCGUUGCGCUUCACCAGCAGAGGAGAAGACCUCACCACCGCCUUUAUAAGCAGCUUUAACAGUUGCUUGUUUGAGAACAAUCAUGGUGUUGAGUUGAACGAAGCCGGUUUAGCUAGCAUCUUUGAGGAAGAUUUCAUUGGGUGGGCCAAUCCUGAAGCUGCUGAUGAUUCCAUAUGGGAAGAAGCUGAUGAUAUUUUGCUUAAGAGCCCACAAUCCGCAACUCCACUGGACCUUACUAAGGCUUUUGAGGAAGCUGCUACGACAAGGAGUGAGGAGGGCAUACAUAGCUUAGCUCUAGGUGCUUUGGAUCAUAGCUUUCUUGUGGGUGAUUCUGGUAUUCAGGUUUUCAAGAACAUGAGGCAAGGGGUGCAUGGGACAGGUGUUUCUGUUAACUUUGAGGCUGCUUACGGCUCAGCACGAAAGAAUAAGAAGGCUCUUCUCAUGAGAGCUGAGACCAACUUGUUGCUCAUGAGUCAACAAGCCCCAGGAAUCCAUCAGCUUGAUAUUGAAACUGGCAAGGUUAUUUCGGAAUGGAAGUUUGAGAAAGAUGGAGUGGACAUCUCUAUGAGUGACAUUACUAAUGAUGGUAAAGGUGCUCAGCUAGACCCAUCUGGAUCUACCUUUCUUGGUUUGGACAGAAACAGGCUUUGCAGGUGGGAUAUGCGUGACCCAUAUGGGGUGGUUCAGGGUCUUGCUACUGCGAAUGCCCCACCAGUCUUGACUUGGGCUCAGGGACAUCAGUUUUCUAGAGGGACUGACUUCAGUUGCUUUGCAACUACUGGUGAUAGAUCACUUGUUGCUGGCAGUUUUGAUGGACAGAUUAGACUCUACUCAGAAAGCGGCACUUUUAGGAGGGCUAUGACGGCUUUCCCUGGACUUGGUGCGCCUGUGACUCAUGUGGAUGCUACUUACGAUGGGAAAUGGAUAGUUGGUACAACUGAUACGUAUCUGAUUGUUAUCUCUACCCUUUUCACUGAUAAGGCUGGUAAGACAAAGACUGGCUUUGAGGGUUCCAUGGGAAAUAAGAUGGCUGCACCAAGGUUGCUGAAGCUAACACCUCUCCACGCCCAUUUAGCUGGAUCCAACAACAAGUUCCGCAAUGCUCAGUUUUCAUGGGUAAGCAAAACUCUAAUUGAUGUUUAUAUUUCUUUUAUAUUUCUGACAUUCUUGCUUUGCAUGUUUUUUUUUUUUGGUAAAAUUGCUUUGCAUGUCUUGUUCAUAGUAAAGUGCAAGUCUUUACUAAAACCACAGCUGUCUAUGUGAUUUUUGCCUCUUUUCACUUGAAAGAGUAGCUGUUUUUUUGCGGGAAUGCUUAGCUGGAUUUGUGAUUAUGAAAGUGUUUCCGUCUAAAUUAACUGUUGAGGAAGUUUAUUACUUAGUUGAAGUAUAGUUUCCCAACAUUUGACUUGUCUUUUUCAGUUUGUCCCACAGUUUUUCAAAUUACAGGUUAUAGUGUUCUUUUAGUCCAUCUUAGGUUUAUCCUUUGGUGGUAAAAUUUGAUAUUUAUACAGGUCACGGAGGAUGGAAAAGAAGAGCAGGAUUUUGGCACUGGCGUGGCGGGGGAGAUUUUGGAUUUUGGGGAUUUGAUGAAAAUAAGAGCGUCAUGUGGUGGCAACUGUUGGCAAAUUCAGUGUGAUAUGGAACUUUCAGCAAGUGAAGGAUGGAUCUCACGAAUGCUACCAUGAGCAGGAAGGGCUGAAGAAAUGCUAUUGCUACAAGAUAGUCCCUCGAAAUGAAUCUAUUGUGGACAGCCGUUUCAUGAACGACAACUCUGCAGUCUCUGGUUCACCUGAAGCGCCUCUGGUCAUUGCAACUCCCAUGAAAAUCAGCUCUUUCAGCUUAUCCAGCAAGAGAGGAAGGACACAAGCAAGUGCUUGACCAUCAGUUUAUAAAAAUUAUUAUAAUUGUAACUUGGUAUAAAAAAGAGUUUGUUGCUAAUUAUUAAUCAUGUAAUACAAAAAAUAUAAUAUAUUAAAAUAAUGGACAAUAUAAAUGAGAUAACUAAAAAAUCAGUUUUUUUUUUGUUCAAGUCAAAUACAUAUAAUGUUUUUUUUUUUGAAAAAAAUACAUAUAAUGCUUAUGACACCAAAUGCCAAAUAGCUAAAAGAUAUAAAUGGAGUAUAUCUUAAAGAAAAAAUAUAUAUAUAUAUAUAAUAAGAGCCUAUUCAAAAAGAAAAUAAAUAUAUCACAUAGAACUGUUUGCCAAUAGGAGAUUGGUUAAUAGAAGAUUAUCUCAAGGCAAAUAUAUGCAAAAAAAUAUAUAAACAACUAGAAUGAAUUUUAAAAUAUGGCUUACAUAUUCUUAAGAAUUAAAUCCAAUUAUAAAAUAUUGUCAAAGACUAAAUUACAUUAUUUUAUAUGGUUAAGUUGUCAAGUCUAAAUCAAGACUUUGUGGUGGUGUGUUGAGUCAAUAUGUAGCUGUUGUUAUGUGUUAUCUAUUUGUUAAGUAUUCAAGUUAAAUCAAGACUUUGUGAAAGAGUAUCUAGUUUCUGAAUCUUUUCAUCCAUUCUUUUCAAUCUAGUAUUUGUUAAGUAUUCAAGUUAAUAUAAAUUUAGAAUAUCUACAUGAGCAUAUAUGAGAUGAAAAUAAAUCAUGAUCAAAGUGCUUACGAUUGAGCUAAAGAAUUCCAAACAUCCCAAAGGCUAGGACCAAGCAUGUCCAUGACCUGGAAAUAAUAUAAAUAGUUCUUAAUGAAAAAUACCUUAUUAAUCUAAACGUGUAACGAGGCUCUCGUACUAAAAGCUUACCAGGAUGUAAAAAUCUCCUUGACGACCCUUAUGAUGUACAGCAGGAAUUCCAUAACAGCUAUUAAGCGUACUUUACAGCAGAUAAAAAAAGGAGAUAAGUGGAGACAAAUAAGAAGAAGAGAAAAUUUAGAGAAUGAGAGUCUUACUUGUACACUUGAGAACAGAUCAGUAGUGACGAAUAAGGAGAAGAGAAAAUUUAGAGAAUGCAACUCUUACUUGUACACUUGCCACUCGUAAGGUGGGCCAAAGUUGCAUCCUUUACUAUUUCUGUGUUCAAGUUUCAGAGCUACCUGAACAGGUUUUAAUAUUUUUUAAAAUAUGGAUACUUUUAAAAGCCUAAAUCGAAUUAUCAGAUACCGCAGAUCCGGAUCGAAUUUAAAAGCAUGGAUUUAAAUGCAAAAAAUUUUAAAUACACAAAAUUCUUUAAAAAAAAUUAAUAAUUUUGAACCAACAUAUUCAGAACCCAUAGUUGUUUUCCUCUGAAUAAGAAUAUAUCCAAUUCGAGAUGACACUUACAUUGUUCUUCUGUUUAGUAGGAUUUGACAAUAUUAGAAGAUCAAACAGCUGUUUUGGCUGUGAUGGAUGAUAAAUAAAAAUCAAUAACUUGAGACCAAAAGAUUAAAGCCUUUUCUCCGAUUUAUAUGUUCAUUAUAACAAAGGUAUUAAACAAUAUGCUCUUCAAUUCUAUUAAUAAUAAUGUAUCUCAUCUGUUUUAUUUUUCAUGUUACUUUCAUCUUGUACUUGCUACAUACAUACAAGAGAGAAGUUUCAUUUCAAUACACAUAAGGUUGGCUCCUGGUUGAGGUUUUACCUUUGGAUUGUACUGAAACUAAAGCUUCACGUAGUAAUAAGGCUUCAUAGAGAAAAUCAUCCCUGAAACCUAUAGCAAGGGCGAGAGUAGACUCGGCGUUUACUCAACAAACGGUCCGACCAUAGCAUAUUGAUGCAAUGUACAGAUUUUUCGCCCAUUUGUCCUGAAAGUCACAAGUAAAAGAUUCAAGUCAGUACAUUGAGCAAACCAAUGGGGGAAAGAAACCAACAUUAGCUUUUUUAUGUGUCUUUGUUUAUUGUAAAGAGAGUUAUAUGGCUAAGAACAAACCUUGACAUGGGUGCUUGGGAAAGCAGAAGUGCGAAGAGUCUCUUGGGUUUCAUCGGUUAUUUUUCGUUUAGGUAUGCUCAAUAUGAGAGCUGCUUGAUCCGCUGUUGCAGCCAUUGAUGUUAUCCUGAAUCCACUCUCCCACCUUCUAUGGAUUCCUUCACUUGGGUACAAAAAGUCCAGCUCCACCACCUUAAUAGAUACACAACAGAACCACCUUUAAUACAGCCCAAGAAAGAAAAAAAUGUUGAAGCGCCUCAGGUGUUAUAGAGAUUGGAACCUGUUCGGAGUAGCCUGAGUUUCUGGACAUUACUAUACCCCAACGACUCCCAGCAGUGGUCAUGGAGGUUACAUGAAAUCCUUCUUUCCACUUUUUGUUUAUCCAUUUGAAUGGGAAUGAGUCGCUGACUUUGUAAGAUUGCUGGGUAUAAGGAGUUCCUAUCACAUUACAUAAAGUUAGACAAUAAGUAAAACGGCUUCAUGCCCCCUAAGAAUCACUAAGUAAGACAUCAGGAGAGUUACCUUUCGACAUAACGACCAACGAGCUUCCGUUAUUAGCACCAGCUAUGGAACUGAUAUAGUAGUUCUUUUCCCAUUGUUCCAUGAUCCAGUCCUGCAAAGAAUCAAGAAAACAAACAAUGAGGAGCUGGGAGUGGAGGAUAGGUAUGAAAGAUAGAAUGCUUCAGCUGAAUUUUACCUUGUGCAAGAAGACUGUGGACAAUUCAUAGACUUGAGAGCUGAACCCAGUCCCAGCAUCCAUGAUGAGGGCCCAGAGAUUAGCUGCUGAUGCUACACAGCUGAUGUAAAGGCCAUCCUCGUUACCUUUCUCCACAUGCUGAGGCAGCCUUGUCUCCGCAACAUUGUAAUGAUAUCUACCAAAGAAGGAACUCAAUUAACGAAGCUUUCAAAAACCUUUAUACUCCAGAUAUGAGUGAUGAGCAAUCACUCAAAUGUGUAGUAGUUACCUCUGUUUCAUAGGACGACGUGCAUUAUAGACUGAAAUCCACUGAGUAGCAGGACUGCCGAUUCUGAUUUUCUUCCUCGGCUGUUCAUCCUCUUCCAAAUUGAUAAGUAAUCUUCCUCGUUUUUGGCCAACCUAUUCAUCCAAAAGCAAAAUAUCAACACUUGAUAAAAGACUUACAAUAGUGGAAAUAAGCAUAGACAACCCACCUUCAGAGCCCCAUCGAUUCUAAUCGGUCUAGAUACAGCACACGGCUCGAUGAGAGAAUCAAAAAUCGAGAUAAGCUUGGCGUAGUUAGGCUCCUCGUCAAACUUCAUGUUGGUAACUACCUCGAGGAAAAGCUUGAACGGGGGAGGACAGAAACAGCACAUCAGUUCAGGAGAUGUUGACAUCUUUUUCUUGCACACAAGAAAGCUCUUGUUGUCACCCUGCGUACAAAGACCAUAUAAAAUUGAGUAGAACUGAAACUUCAAAGGCUUUUUGGUUGUGAACAUAGCGAUAGAAAACUCACCUGGUACCCUUGCCAUGGCAACCUCCCCCGCAUCAAAAAUAUUAAUGUAUAGGCCAAUGAUUCCAGAUCAUCCCUCCGACUUCCGGUACGACCAAGAUGUGCAUGACAACUUGCAUACCGUAUCGUUCCCCUGAAUUUGAAGUAAAAUAUAGAUGUAAGCAAUAUGAAUUGUGUGUACAAAACAAGUAGGAGGCAAUACCUGAAUACAUCAGGUCUUUGAUCAUAUUCAACAUGCGGGCCAGAGUGUGAAUCUUUCCAUCUUGAUGCUGAAAUAAAUGAUUAUAUAUGUUAAUAACGAUUACAAAUAUUUCACGCACAUACAAAAUAAGUUGAGAAAUAAAACAUAUCAAGAUGUUUGUAAGCAUAUUGCAGAAACUCACCUAGACCAAGAUCGAUAAGGUAUAGUUUCUUCUCGUCUGCUGUUCCAGGCUGACCAAGUAAAAAGUUUUCUGGUUUCACAUCUCCAUGCACAAACCUUGUUUGAUGUAGGGAUUCAACAUGGCAUGACAGUCAGCCCAACGGUAGUAACUGUAAGGAAUUCUUUGGAAACAACAAAAAAAUCACACUAACCCCUUCAUAUGCAGUUUCUCAAGAAUAGAUAUCGCUUCCACUGCAAUGCACGCUACCAUGUUUGGUGACAUCCUACACAUACGACAAUAAAUUCAGAAUAUCUAAUGAAAAUAAAUCAUGAUCAAAGUGCUUACGAUUGAGCUAAAGAAUUCCAAACAUCCCAAAGGCUAGGACCAAGCAUGUCCAUGACCUGAAAAUUAAUACAAAUUAAGAGUUCUUAAUGAAAGAUAUCUUAUUAGUCUCAACGUGUAACGAGGCUCUCGUACCAGGAUAUAAAAAUCUCCUUGACGACCCUUAUGAUGCACAUCAGGAAUUCCAUAACAGCUAUUAAGCGUACUUUACAGCAGAUAAAAAAAGGAGAUAAGUGGAGACAAAUAAGAAGAAGAGAAAAUUUAGAGAAUGAGAGUCUUACUUGUACACUUGCCACUCGUAAGGUGGGCCAAAAUUGCAUCCUUUACUGUUUCGGUGUUCAAGUUUCAGAGCUACCUGAAAAGGAAAAGAAUAAACAUUUUCUAAUUACCACACUUUUGGUCUAACACCUAUGAUUUUAAAAUGGCUUUUUUUCCUACUAUACCUCAAUUGCAUCAGCUCCAAUCCGAUCACUGCCACCACUCACCCUUCUGCCAACAUAAACUUGACCAAAUCCACCCUUACCGAGCUUCCUCUCCGUCUUAUAAACAGGAGAGUUUCCAACUUGUACCUACACAAAAAAAAAAAUGAAGUCAGUAAAUUAAUUAGCGUAGCUAGCAAACCACACACCAACAAAAGAUCUAAAGAGUUCCAAGAUGAUGAAUGAAGGUGGAAAAAAAAAUAUGAUGUCAUAAGGUUAAGAGAAGUUACCCUUUCAGGGACAGGACCCAUGCUGGAAUCUUCAUCCAUGCCUGCUAUUUUCUCUGGGCUACCACCUUCAGCAGCAAGAUCCUUAUCAGCUACCCCUCCAACUCGAUUUAAAGCAGCUUCAGCGGCCCCUAAAACGCCAGCGGAUGGACAAACCUCACAAGGCUCAGGCUCUAAGUCAGUCAACCUGAUACCCCUCCCCCUACCGGCAGCAGUUGUUGGUCUAGGAGGUACAGCCGCGGCUUUAGCUAAAGCAGCAUACCCUCUUCCUCUACCACCAACACCACCACCUCUUCUCCGUGUGGUAGCAGUCUGAGGAGGAGGAGGAAGUAGGAUGUUUUGAAGUAGCUGAGGGUUAGGCUGAUGAUCUUCAAUGCGUCUCGAUCUCCUAGCUCCACUUCUUAACUCUCGCAUUCUUACUCCAUGUCACAAAAAUCUUAUUUUUUUCUGUCAUUAAAAGAAAAAGAAGAGUUGUGUAAAUAAACAGUUCAUCAGAUGUUACAAAAUCUACAAACAAAAGAUGGACCAACACAAGACAUAUACAAAACUUAACAUAGAUUCGAGGAGAAGCUAACUGUAACACAAUUUGAUCAGUAUCAUACAAUUAAGCUCGAUCAUCUUCCAAAGUCACGAUCUUUCGCAUAGUCAUACAAAAGCACACAACAACAACAAUCACCAUAGGAAUCGAAUCGAAGAUGCCAAAAGUCUAUUUUACCAGAAGAUCGAUUGAAGAUUAGAUUAUACUUCGAUUGAUCGGGCGAUGAAGAGAGUGGAAUAGGAUCGAUCCAGAACAAACAAAAGAAGAACUUUCAGAUCUCUCCUCUCCUCCUCGAGUUUUAAAAAGUGUGAAACCGAUUGAUUAGCUUCCUUCUCAAUCCUGGAGUGACGAUUUUGAAUGUGAGAAAGAAAACUUCUGAGCUGUUGUGAAGUGAGACAGGUAGAGAGAUAGAGAGAGAAAGCUAGAGAGAGAGAGAGAGAGAGAGAGAGAGAGAGAGAGAGAGAGAGAGAGGUGGUUGCCUUGCCGCUAGAUUUAGUUAGGGGCUGUUAAUAAUGAAGAAGAAGACGAUUGAUGAAUUUUUGGUUUAAAAAUACGGUAACUACAUGAGAGGAGCCUUAACCGGGUUCCUGAACCGGCUUCAGCCCAUUUUGACUUCCUUAACCAAAAAAAACAAUACAACUUCUUUAGCAAUUAGCAUAAUACAAGUGAUAUACAAUACAUCCUUUUAACAAAAUCACACCAAUCUCAAUCUUGCUUGUAAACUGUGUGUACGUAUAUGUUACAAACAUCAUCAAGAUCAAUGCAUGCUUAAACAAAAAUGAUAUCCAUGAUAAUUAUUCUUAAACAAAAAAACAUGAGGGACCAUACAUAAGUUUGUAUGUAGUGUUUUAAGUAAAAAAUCAUAAUUCAUAUGUACUAAUAAGUUUAGUGGCAAAUUAGCAAAUCCUUUUUUUUGUUUUUUUUUUAAUUUAUUACAAAAGGACCUCUUAACAAAAAAAGGCAAAUCAACGUCGGUUUCAAAAUCUAGUGCGAGGAAAAAACUGCCCAUUAAGGAGAGAAAGAGCCUUAUCUUGUUUGGUUUGAUUUGGUUUGCAUUUUGUCGCCUUAUGUUUAAGGAGGAAGACGAAGAAUCCAAACAAAACAAGUGAACUUUCUUUCUAAACCCACAAGGCUCUCUCUGGGUUUUUCGAGGUUGCGUUUUGCUUCAUUUCCCAGAUAGCUCUCAGAACGUUUCUCUAAGGCUUUACUGCUUUAAAGCUUUUACCUUUUUGUUUUGUUGAUACUCUCGAAAUGGAUGGAGCCUCUUCUUCUUCUGAUAGCUUCCCUCUUCUUGGUAUGUUCAUUUUUCACUCAAAGACUAACUCUUUUUUUUUUUCAUCAUAGAACUUGUCUUAAGCUAUUGAUUUUUGUAUCAUUGGAUUGUUUGUUUGGAACUAUUGAUUUUGGUGAUGGGGAUUGUAUUGUCAUCAGCACCUUUCAUAGCUUGUCUUUUGAAUUGAUUAGUGUACACUGAUGAUAGAGAAAAAUAUAUGUUUUGUUAAUGGAAAAUAUUGACUUGGCUCUUUGUAUCUAAUAAUCGGUGCAGAAACAGCAGAUUGGUUCCAGGAGUUGUCUUUAGGUUCAGAUGCAAGUGAAGUCCCUAGGAACCAUUAUAAGGUACUUGCUUUGAUGCUUAUUUAAUGCAAUAAUUGCAUAUGAUGGGUGAGCUUUUUUUUUUUUUGUUGUAAACUGACUUGACUGUGUUUUGUGUGAAGGGUUCUCUUCAGAACCAGUAUGGACAUGUACCUUCUGGUGCGUAUACUGCUCCAUCUUCUCAUGGAAACGAGAGAAGGCCUAGCAUGAAUGGUGGAGACCCGUUUGGUUCAUACCCGUGGGGUUACCAUCCUUCUGGUGGCUACCAGGAUCAGAGUUUUGGUUAUGGCCACAACAACAAUUCAAAUACCCUUUCACAUCUCAUGAUGGUAUGUUGUUUCUGUUUCAUCUCACCUUACAGAUCUUCUAGAAUGUAUGUUUUGUUCCCUUCUUCCUUUAGGUUGAGGCAAUGUUCUUUCUUACUUACAGGAUCCACACAAUUCAAGUUUUGACCAGUUUGGAUACAGUGAUCAUUUGUAUUCAAACCAUGGAUUGUAUGGACUUUACGGUAACGUAAUCGACUCUGGUCAUGCUUAUGGAACGUUUGGUUAUGACUCCUGGAAGCUCGGGAGAGGAUGGUAUCCUGUUGAUGGUUAUAGAAAGACCAAAAGCUUCAACUACGCGCGUGGCUACAGCGAAGAGAAAGCAGAUAGGCUUAAUGAGCUUUGUAGAGGACCAAGAAGCAGUGAUGUUAAAAAGCAAGACGCUCCAGUGGUGGAUCUCCAUCGCUACAACGGAGAGAACUUCCCUGAAACAUUCACCAAAGAGAGGUUCUUUGUGAUUAAGUCAUACAGCGAAGACGAUGUUCACAACAGUAUAAAGCAUGGUGUGUGGUCUAGCACGCCAACUGGCAACAAGAAGUUGAACGCUGCGUAUUACGAAGCCCAAGAGGAGGAGUGUCCUGUGUAUCUUCUGUUCUCGGUUAGUAAUGAGGAGAGUUCAUGCUAAUGUGUUUCUCGUGGAUUCUCUGUUUGAUUGUUUUUUUUUUAAUCUUUGCAGGUGAAUGCAAGUGGGCAGUUCGUUGGUGUUGCGGAGAUGACAGGCCCUGUUGAUUUCAACAAGACUGUGGAGUAUUGGCAACAAGAUAAGUGGAUUGGUUGCUUCCCUGUGAAGUGGCAUAUCAUCAAAGACGUACCGAACAGUUUCUUGAGGCACGUAACGAUUGCUAAUAACGAGAACAAGCCUGUCACUAAUAGCAGAGACACUCAAGAGGUUUUGUUGAACUUCCCUUAAACUCUUCUUGGACCAUUUUUAAAAAACUGUACGGUCAUGGUUUGGUUUGGUUGCAGGUGAAUGUGGAAGAUGGAACCAAAAUCAUAAAGAUAUUCAAGGAGUAUAUGAGCAAGACAUGUAUACUUGAUGAUUUCAAGUUUUAUGAGACCAGACAAAAGAUGAUCAGAGAUAAGAAGAUCAAGCAAAAGAAACAGGUUACACACUUCUUUAAACCUUUGCUUCAACAUGUGGUUGUGGAUUCUGAUUUGUUUUCUUUAUACAGGUCCCUGAUGGAGCUUCUGUAGAAACGAUUCACUGAAAUAGAUGAGAGAAAAGAUGAUAGACUUUUUAAUUAAAGAACACUUAGUUUGGAUUGUGUUUGAUAUCUUCAGGCUUUGGAUUCCUGAGAACCUUAAUAUAUAGGUUCUACGCUUUUCAAAACAUAUUACAUUGUGUUUUGUUCCUUUUGUAUAAAGGACGCACCACUGAUAAAACCAAACUCAACUCAUGAUUUGCUCUUCAGUCUUCUCUAGAGUUCAUAUCAGAGCAUUGAUAAGGUUCUUUCUGUUUAUUUAUCUGUUUACAGUUAGAGAAACCAAAGUUCUAACAAGUAACAACGAGUGAUUUACAAUCUUCAAUGUAAAUAUACUAGAUUCUUACAUGAACUUUCUAAACGACGGCGUUUCUGAGUCUAACCGGCUAACCGCUACGAAGAAUCUUUGUCCCCAAAUAAAUUUCUAUCUCAGUCCCUAAAGUUUUGUAUAAAUCUAAUUUCAUCCCUCAAAAUUAAAGAUUGUUACAUCGACACCCAAUUGGCUAAAACGUGGCAGAACCGCCGUAGAAGCUGUGAAACGACGACGUUAAGAGUACAAAAAGGUAUUUCAAAAUAGGUUACUCUCACACACAAGAGCCAAAAGCCUUCUCUCCUCCCUUAAACAGCAGCAAACUAUAACAACAGUGACGGCAAGAGCUAGUAGGCGUAUAGAUCGUUACCGGAGAAUACGAUGCAGCCUUAUGGAAUCCAGUCGAUGCUUAAGGAAGGUUACAGACAUCUCUCUGGUCUAGACGAGGCCGUCAUAAAAAACAUCGAAGCUUGCAAGGAGCUCUCCACCAUCACCCGCACUUCUCUCGGCCCCAAUGGUAAACCUUUCUUGGAUCUAAUACUCUCGAUUGAAAUGAUUCCAUUACAGCGUUUUUGUUUAACUGUUCUAAGUAGGAUCGCUAGUGUAAAAAAACAACACUUGUUUUCAGUUCUGUCGGAAUCUGAAUGUCUUCUGUCUCAUUUCUGUCGCAAUCUGAACGUCUUCUCUGUUUCAUUUUCGCAAUGUUUCGGGAUCUUUAGUGUAAAAACAACACUUGUGUCAGUUCUGUCGGAAUCUGAAUGUCUUAUGUUUCAGUUCUGUCGGAAUCUGAUGUCUUCUCUGUUUCAUUUUCGUAAUGUUUCUGGAUCCUUAGUGUAACCCUUGUUUCAGUUCUGUCGGAAUCUGAAUGUCUUCUGUCUGUUUCAGUUCUGUCGGAAUCUGAUGUAUUAUGUUGGAAUCUGAAGUCUGUCUUUGUUUUUAUUUUUUUAUGUUUCAGGGAUGAACAAGAUGGUUAUUAACCAUUUAGACAAGCUCUUUGUCACAAACGACGCUGGGACCAUCGUUAAUGAGCUGGAGAUUCAGCACCCUGCCGCGAAGAUCCUUGUCUUAGCAGCCAAGGCUCAGCAAGAAGAGAUCGGAGACGGAGCCAAUCUGACAAUCUCCUUCGCUGGUGAGCUUUUGCAAAAUGCUGGAGAGCUUAUCCGGGCGGGAUUGCACCCGAGUGAUAUCAUUACUGGAUAUAACAAAGCAAUCACUCAGGUUUGUGAAAUUUAAAUUUUGUUGUGUAAGUGAUGGUGGUGACUAAUGCUAUUGGUAUACUAUGUUCAGACUGUUGAGAUUCUUGAACAACUGGUUGAGAGUGGUUCUGAGACAAUGGAUGUGCGUAACAAAGAUGAAGUGGUGUUUAGGAUGAGAGCUGCUGUUGCUAGCAAGCAGUUUGGUCAAGAAGAGAUCAUAUGCUCUCUCGUUGCUGAUGUGAGUGUUAUUGAACUUUUGAUUAUGCUCACAGUUCCUCAGGGAGAUUUACUUGUUUUUUUUUUUAACAGGCUUGCAUUCAAGUCUGCCCAAAGAAUCCAACGAACUUCAAUGUGGAUAACGUCCGUGUUGCCAAGCUAUUGGGAGGAGGGUUGCACAACUCUUGCAUUGUCCGUGGAAUGGUCUUGAAAAGUGACGCUGUUGGUAGCAUCAAGCGAAUGGAGAAGGCAAAGGUGAAUGGCUCCUAACAUUUUCCUGUUUUCGAUAGCUGAAUGUCUCCUAACAUUUUUAUUAUAUACUUUCUUCAGGUUGCGGUGUUUGCUGGGGGAGUUGAUACUACUGCAACAGAGACAAAAGGAACUGUGUUGAUCCAUAGUGCUGAGCAGGUUUGUGUUUUAAGGAUGACUAAUAUAUUUUCUGAAGGAUGGUUGUAUUUUAACACAUUUGUUUCUUGGUUUUAUAGCUAGAGAACUAUGCAAAGACAGAGGAGGCUAAAGUUGAGGAGCUGAUUAAUGCUGUAGCUGAAUCAGGAGCCAAAGUGAUUGUUAGUGGGGGAUCAGUUGGAGAGAUGGCAUUGCAUUUUUGUGAGCGUUACAAGUAUGUGUAGACUCUAAAUGUCUUCUUAUUUCAUUUAGAUGCUGCUUGUGAUAUUACUAAUAUAAGAACUUUUUUUUUGGUAGGAUAAUGGUUUUGAAAAUCAGCUCAAAGUUUGAACUGAGGCGUUUCUGCCGCACAGCUGGGGCUGUUGCUCAUGUAAAUGUUUUCUCAUUCACAUUCUAAAUAUGAUUGUGGUAAUUUUAAUUAAUACUUUGAUGAUUAUCGAACAGUUGAAACUAAGCCGACCAAGUCCUGAUGAUUUGGGAUACGUUGAUUCCAUAGCAGUGGAGGAAAUUGGUGGUGUGACAGUAAGUACUCCUUUUUGAAAUCAGUUUCUUUCUUUCUUUCUUUUUAGUUAAUUUAUAUUUUACCUUUCAUUGAUCACUAUGCAUUGUGAUGUCUUAAGGUCACUAUUGCAAGAAAUGAGCAAGGUGGUAACUCCAUCUCCACAGUGGUUUUGCGUGGAAGCACAGACAGCAUUUUGGACGACCUUGAAAGAGCUGUUGACGAUGGAGUUAAUACAUACAAGGUAAAUCUUUAUUUAUUCCAUGUCUAUUUUUCCAUUUUUCUAAAUAUUAUUUUGUAAAAUCUUCUUCUCAGGCCAUGUGCAGGGACAGCCGUAUCGUUCCCGGGGCUUCAGCUACCGAAAUAGAACUGGCUCAGAGGUUGAAAGAAUACGCCAAUGCAGAAACAGGGUUAACUUUCUUUUUACUUAAGCCUCUGAUUAUAUCAUUUGAAAUAUUAUUAUCAUUGUAAAAAACUUUGGUUUUUAUUGUGAGUGUUCAGGUUGCACAGUCAUGCUAUCUUAAAAUACGCAGAGAGCUUCCAGUUUGUACCCCAAACCCUUGCUGACAACGCUGGCCUCGAUGCGAUGGAGAUCAUUGCUUCUCUGUACACUGGACACGGGUCUGGAAACACAAAGCUAGGCAUUGACUUGGAGGAAGGUGCUUGUAAAGAUGUCUCAGAGACUAAAGUGUGGGAUCUUUUUGCAACCAAGUAAAGUUUCAUCAUCCAUUAGAAAGUAUAUUUUUUAUUACUGUUUCAUUUUCUCUGUGACUAAAGGGACAAAGUGUCUCUGUGCAGGUUGUUUGCUCUUAAGUACGCUUCUGAUGCUGCAUGCACGGUGCUUCGCGUAGACCAGGUAUGCACACCUGAUUUAAUAUUCUAGUGAACCAGUCUCAUUGUAGUUAUAUCACUAGAUGUUGCUCCAGCACAUAAAUUAAAAGAAUCUUCUGAGGCUAACAUAUAAACGUUGUUUGGUUGCAAACCAUUAGAUUCAACAUUCAUUUUCCAUUGCAUCGACCUCAAUGAGUAGUGUAAAGCCUAUAUGUUAAUACUCUUGUCUGGUGUAUGUAAAAUGUGCAGAUUAUAAUGGCGAAACAAGCAGGUGGACCAAGGAGAGACUUAGCAGCAGCCGCAGGUGCAGGUGCAGAUGAAGACUAGACUGUAUAACAAAAGAAAUACCCUCUUAGUUAAACUGUUUCUUCUGUAACCUUUCUUCGUUUUAAUUCUUUGAUAUGUUUUUGGUACUCUCUUAGUUUGAGUUUUAUGAUCUUUGUGUACACUCACCACCAACUCGAUGUUUUGUCACUUGGUUCUUUUAUAUUAGUCAGUGACUCAAUGUUAAGACUGCUAUGACAUUUAUAUUUGAUUUAUAGUAUCAGAUUUUAGAACUGUGACAAAUUUUUGAUGAUAUAAAAAACAAACGAGUAUUUGAACAAGAUCCACCACACUUCUUGUGUUGGAGCAGUCUUUUGUAUGGUUAUUGAACGUGUUUCUCUGGUGGAACAGUUCUAGGAGAUCCUCUUCGAACUCAAAUAAUUAGGUUUGCAUCGCUUUCUCACUCAUCUCUGCUUCCGGCUCCGUUAAGCUUCUUCAUUUUGGAAGUGCUUCGUGUAUCUCCCUAUGGUCCUAAUCAACCUGGUCUUUUUCUUUUGUUUAGUUUAUGGUUCAGUGUAUGUUCUAAUCUUUGGCUCCGGAUGGUGCAUAUCACCUUGCCGGCUUAUGGCUCUAGAGAGGUUGCAAACCUUUGCUAAACCUUUGCUGGCUUUGUAUGAUACUCUGUUCAAAGUUAAUAUUAAUCUACUAGAUGACUUAAAAAAAAAAAAAACAAGAUCCACCACACAGAUAACAAAAGAACACAAGAGAACGUACAAAUUGAACCUAAGCUCUAAGUUCUAAGCUGCUUUUUUAUGUUCAUCACUUAGGCUUCAGGUAGGAACAAGGUGAGGAGGCAUCACCAUAUCAUCAUUCAGAUGCACCCACAUAGCAAACCCUGCAACUGCAACAGAGAAGAAACUCAAUCCCCAUCUCAACACACGCUUGCUCCUUGCCUUUCUUGAGACUGUUUCAGUCUCUCCUGUCAUAGCUUUGGCCUCAGAAUCCAAAUCUGACUUCGGUUUCUCACAGAUAUCUUCCGUUGGAGUAGUAUUAGUAGUACCACCAGAUGUAUCAUAUAUGGAUGAUGACGAAUAGCUUUCACUGUACCGCUGCAUCUGCUGUCUGUUCUCCACUAGCUCAGUGAAUGGAUCUUGCGCAAAACCAUGCCUGUGAUGGUUUGAACACAUGUCUCCUGAUGAUUGUCUCUUCCUUGGCUUUCCUCUUGAACUUCUUGAGCGAUUGGUCCAAGAGCACACUGAUUCGUUAAACUCAGAGCUUCUGUUCCUCUGAUGGAACAUAACCGACUCCAUGUCAUAAUCUUCAACGCCAGGAAACUGAAUCUGAAACCAAAGUAGCAGAUUAAUAAAACCUCUUUAAGAAAGAAUACACAAUGGAGAUAGUUCUUACUUGGCUUCCAUCUCUUGGACUCUGGACCACAGAACCGGUCUCUCGGUUAUAGUCAGCAUAAUACACCAAAGGAGAGCCUGAGACAACAGUUCUUCCACUGGCUACACCGUUAAACAAAACAUCUUCCUCUUCUUGUUCAUUAACAUAACUCCCACUAUGUGCUCUCAGCCUUGGUGUAGACUUGAUUGAUUCUGCAUUGAACUUUGGUUCUGCUGACUCUCCUAUCAAUCUUUCUGCUGUACUCAUGGUCUCAUAAGCCGCCACUCUCACAAAAUACAUCUCAUCUUUCAAGUGUUUCUCCAUCUCUUUGUAUAUAAGCUCCAGCUCAGAGCAAAUACUCUUCGGAUUCAAAUACUUCAUCAGAAAGUUAAGCAUCUGCACAGCCAAAAGCCGUUUCUGAGAAUCCCCCUCAACAACACCUAACUCCAAAAUCCUCAAACCAGACUUCACCAAGAGCCUCGCAUACGCCUCAACUAUAAAGGGAUUGUGCUUAGCUAGAGCUAUCACAAGCGCCAUAUGAGCCUUAGCCUCACUCGAAGUAGCUUCAAGAGCAACAGCCAAGCUUUGACAAACGCUGUUCACCACUUCGCUAGAAGCAAACCGCCAGCUGUCGCAGUCCACAAGCGACUUCAAACAAAGAGCAGACCCCAAAGCAAGAUGCUGCUGGUGCUGCGUAUCCAAAAGAGACUCAGAGAGAGGCUUGCAAAGAGAAUGAAUCACGUUCCUCUUCUUGUCCUCAGGCGUUGCAGGAUCAACCCCGUAUCUAGCUAUAGCAGCCACCGCCUUUGAGCAAGCCUGUUGAACUCCUAAGGACCCCUCACAAGAGCUUAACGUUCUUAUGAUAACCGGCAUGAUGGUGCCCACGUGUGGAGCGAGUUUCACUCCGUGGGCACGUGCGAGGUCUUCAAAGAGAGAAACCGUGUAGCCACCGGACUCGGAACCAAUCUCUUUGGUUUCAGAAACUUGAGAAACAAAGACAUGUAUCACUUUUGGGUUCAAGUCUUUCACAAUGGUUCUCAAGUUGCUCAUUGCAGUCUUGUUAGUGUCUGGAUCUUUGUCGAGGUUAGCCAGCUCUUGUCUAAACGCUGAACCGAGGUUUCUCCCCAUUUUUUAUCCCUCCUGAAAACAAAAGCCACAACGAAGUUAACAACAAGCCAUCUUAUGUGACAAGAACUGUCAUUUCAAUAUAAACUAACAUUACCGAAAUAAUCAUAUUCAAUUAUUCUAAACCAUAUAUCCUUAUAAAGUAAACAAAAUCUCCAUUUGAGGAUUAUACCAGAAAACAAUACUCAAUUCCCAAAAAAAAAAGUUAACGACUUUCUUUUGUAAACCGAGCGGAAAGUAUCAUUCAAUUGAUAAAUUUUGAAUUUCUGUUGAUAAUUGAGUAAACCCAUUACUUAAAAGUCUUAAAGGUUCAAUCUUUAUACUAUAACAUGAAUAUGAUCGAAAGGAAAUGAUAUCGAUUCGUAGCGAUUAAUUCACGAAAAGGGUCUUCUGGGUUCGAAUCAGAAACGUAUACAAACGAAUACAAGAAGAGAAUCAGUAACGCUAAUCGACAAGAAAUGGUAUGAACAGAGUUUCGUUUUGCUGCAAAAGUAAAAGUUGAGGAGUAACGAAGAACGAAGCGUACCAGUUACUGAUUGAGAUCCAGUAACUUGAAAGUCUUCAGAUUCCACAAGAGAGAAGGCUCUUUCUUCUCUUCUUAGUUCUUUACGAUACGACGCGAAGAAAAGAAUUCAACUUUUUUUUGAACGUUGAGAGUUUGGUGAGAUGGGCGGGUUUAUUAUGGUAACUCUCCGUAAUUUUUGGGUCUUAACCAAAUUUACCCCUUUAUUUUUCUGUUUUUUUACUUAAAUGGUGCCAAUAUUUUCAAAUUAUUAGUCUACCGCCUAUGCGAUUGGUUAAAAUGCAUUAACGUCAACUACUUAAAAAUGGUCUGAGAUUUUUAUUUAUUUAACAAAAAGGUGGUUAUUAGUAGGUUAAUCGAAAUGAUGUUGGUUAAUACUGGAAGUAUAUGAGCCAGUUGACACUAAUUAAUCUAAAAAUUGUGUUACAUUGUAGAUUUUAAUUCAAAUGUAAAGAUCAUGGGGAUUGAUAAAGCUAUGCAUUUGUUUAGGUGUUUUUGUAUAUUCAUGUGAAGUUGUGGGUUCUUAUAGUUAUUUUCUAAAAAGUAUGUUUUCACAAUUAUCUUUUUUUUUUGGAAAAUAUUUAUAUUCUAAUAAAAUCACGUUUUAAUUGGAUUUCCUACUUUAUGGGGGUAUUGUCCAGAUGAAUUUUCAAUAUUCCUAUGGAAAUGUUGGUCAAUUUGCAUUAAUUUCAUAAAUUAUUACAAUCAAAUGAUUUAUAUUUCCUUAGUUCAUUCCCUAAUUUUUGGUCCAAAUACAUUGUCUGGUUUAAUUAGGCAAUAAGAUUUUGACUAAGAUAAAUAAUUUCCAAAGCAAAAAAUUGGCAAAAUAUUAAAACUUGUUGGCAAAAAAGAAAUGGGAAAAGAAAAUAAAUGAAAAAACUUUAAACUUGUAACUAUUAAAGUUGAAUUAUAGUCUUGUAACUUUUAGUUUAAUAACUACAAUAGAAAUUUUAUAAGUUAAUACUUGAUAAAUUAAUAAACUCUAUAAAUAAAUAAAUUUUUCCGGUCUCAAGUUGGGUCCGGUGUAAAAUAUGACACUAUUCAAUAUUACAUAAGCUAUGAUGUGAUUUGAGUCUAACUUGGUUGGUAUUUAUUUUCAAUACCCUUUAACGUGUAAUUCAUUUUCCAAAACAGAAAUUACCCAAAUUAUCCAAUGUAUAUUAUUUAUUUAGUCAUUUCAAUCUUAUUGUUAUUUUAAUAAAAGUUAGUAAAACAGUUUAGUGCUCUAUAUUAUUCAUGUCAUUAGCAUCCAAAAAAAAAAAAUCUAUGGAUAGACAUUGCUUGAUGAAACACAAAUCACAGAAUCUAACAUGGUUGGGAAUAUCUAAAGUACAACACCUAAAAGUCUAAUAACAAUAAAGCAUCUUAUAUAAUUUUAAAAAAAUAUCAAAGUAGGAGGAAUAAUCAACGCAAACUCUUUGCCUUGUCUUGCUUAAGUUUUCAUCUGAGGUGCAUAGAGAAAUAAAAUCUGAAGCUAAGAGAGAUCGUUAAAAAGUAGAUUACAAAGCUGAAAAAAUCAACCAUAAGUAGUUAUUGUGCUACAUAAUUACUUCGCUCUUUUAUAAGCAAGUAUCAACCACUAACUAGUAAUCAUUAAUCAUCUAUGUUGGGGUUUAAUAAUCUCUCACGAGCUCCACUAAACAAUCAUGUUAUAACUUUUAUAAUCUCCAUCAGUCUCCCCUCUGUGUGAGAACACACAUACAAGUGGUUAGUUCUAGAUUCAUCAUGUUUAUUAGUUAAACAUAAAAGUCACUUAUCUCAGUCAAGCCUUUACCUCAAAACAGAGAGCUCAUCAGAGUCUUGACGAAUUGAAUUUCAAACAACUUUAAAGUUAACCACAUUGCCAAAAACAUGAUUUGUAAUUUGCAGACAAUUAUGACUUACAUAAUCUAUGAGGUGAAUGAAGUCUAACUUGGUUGGAAUAUAUUUCUAAUACUUUUUCAAGUGUAAUCAUUUUACAAAAAAAAAAUGGAAUAAAAACCUAAUUAUAUCCAAUUUAUCUACUCAUGUCUUCAAUAUUAUUAUCAUUAUCUUAAUGAAAGUUUAAACAAACAGUUGUAUGCUCUAUAUAUUAUUCUUGUCAUCAGUCAUCACCAUCCAAAUACAAAUCUAUGGAUAGACAUUGGUUGAUGAAAACACAAAUUACAGAAUAUAACAUGGCUGAGAAUAUCUAAAGUACAACACCUAAAAGUCUAAUAACAAUAAAGCAUCUUAUAUAAUUUUUUAAAAACAUCAAAGCAGGAGGAAUAAUCAACGCAAACUCUUUGUGUCCAGAAGUUUUGUUCAAAAAGCAUAAAUGAUAUUAAAUGCAGUGGAAAAGAAGAAAAAAGAAAGAUAACAACAUAUUCAUCACACACACACACCAGCCCAACUAAAACUUUUAUAUAAACAGUAACUCUCUUUCUUUCUUUCUCAACCAUUCAAACAAAGAAAAAAUGAGUCAACACAACAUCCUCGAAGCUCUUAACGUCCGGGUCGUUGGCACGGGCGAUCGGAUCCUAGUCCUAGCCCACGGGUUCGGCACAGACCAGUCCGCUUGGCACCUCAUCCUCCCUUACUUCACUCAAACCUACAGAGUCGUCCUCUACGACCUCGUCUGCGCCGGCAGCGUCAACCCCGACUACUUCGACUUCAACCGCUACACCACCCUCGACCCCUACGUGGACGACCUCCUCAGCAUCAUCGACUCCCUCGGCAUCCAAACC
rnacentral:lncRNA from 1 species